UUGGUGUUUUUAACUUAUCCCAUUUACUUUCUGGUAAAAACUUAUAUCUAUAUAAAUUGGCUUCUGCUCCUAUAUCUAUCAUUGGCGUAUAAUAUUUAUUAAAAUAUCCUUCUACUAUUAUCUUCAUGAGUACAUAUAUUUUCAUAUUAAACCUCUUUUUAUUAACAAUUUUUCUUUAUUAUACGUUAUGGUUAAUUGGGUAUGUUCUAUAUUGUAUGGUUUUACUUGUUCCAACCAUUUUAUUCCUAAUAUUAUAUCUGUUUUUUGUGGUUCUUCUUUUACUUCAAAUUCAAUUUUUAUCUUUCUGACUCCUAUUAUAAUUUCUUUUUCAGUCGUAUUUUUAAUAAUUAUUAGGUUUCUUGGCAAGUCUGGACAUUUAUCAUUAUUUGUUUUAAUUUCUUCAAUUUUUACUAAGUAUUUCAUUAUAUAAUUAUCUUCCUGUCCUGUCUUUAUUAGUAUUAAAUAUUUUUUUUCAUCUAUUGUUCCUAUUAUAUAAUAUUGAGUUAGGUUAGGUUUUGGAGUUAUCUCAUAUGCUAUUCUUUUUUAUGGUUCUGGCUUUUCAAAGAUAUUCUUCUUGAUGUUCCUAUUCUUUCAUUUACUAUUUCUAAAUCUUCUUCUAUAUCUAUAUUUUGAUAGCUAUAAUCAUUAUUAUCUAUGAUUUUUACAAAUUGCUCAAACAGGCUUUCUAUUUGUAUUUUAUUUAUUUUAUUUUUUUCAGUUAUUUUAUGCUUUGUUGUUAAUACAUAUAAAUUUUUACAUCUUACGAUAAAUAUUUUACUUCCUGGAGUUAACUCUAUUCCUCAUAUUUUCCAAUAUAGUACUAAUGACUUAUCCAUAUUUUUAUUUGUUAUUGGUACUGAAUAAUUUGCACUUAUUAUAAAUUUAAAUUUUUGGUAUAUUAAAUUCCCUCUUAUAGCACUUAUUAUGCUUUUUUCUAUAGAUUUUAUGAUCCUAUCAUCUGCUAAAUAUAGUUUUAUUGGUGUAUCUAUUCCUUUUCGAAAACAUGCUUUUAUUAAUAUUUCUGUUCCUCCAAAGUGUACAUAUUUUAUUGGGUCUUUACUUUUUAUAUCCUAUAUUUCUUUAUUAACUAUUCUUUUUGUUACUAGUGGUAAACUAGCUUUUCCUUUCGCGUAUCUACAAUCUAUUAUAUGUUCUUUUUGGCUUACUACGUAGUAUUCUUCUUUUCGUCUACUAAAUAUAUUCCUUAUUAUUGGUAUUUUAAAAAAAAAUUUUACACUUAAAUCUAAUUCUUUUCCUUUUAUUUCUUCAAAAUAUAUUACUAUCAAAUAUAAUUUUUUGAUCUGUUUCUUCUUUAUUUAAAUAUUCUUCCUUUUUAUUAUUUGUAUACUUUCUUCAGUCAUUUAAUUCAUCUAAUUCGCUAUCUAUUUCGUUAUCUAUUUCAUUUUCCGAGAUUUCAUAUAUACUAUCUUCACUUUCUAAUUCAUAAUCUAUAUAAUUUAUUUGCAUAUAUUCUGUAUUUUCUAUCUUUAUUUCUGAUAUUUGUUUCUUUUUUGGAUCUUUGGGUACUUUACAAUCUUUAGCUAAGUGUCCUAAUUUUCCACAAUUAUAACAUUUGCAUUCUUUUAUAGAUUUCUUCUUUCUAUAUGGUCUUUUAUGUUUAUAGUCUUUUACGUAAUAUCUUUUUCUUGGUUUUUUAUAUUUAUAUUAGGAUUUCUUAUAUCUAUUAUAUUUCUUAUGUCUUUUCUCUUCUUGUAGUAUUUUUCUUCACAUCCGAAUUGGGGUGCUAUUUUAUCUUUGCAACAUGCUAAAUUUUUUAUUAAUGUUUUUUAUAUUUUUAAUUCUUCCCUAUAUUUUUCACAUAUAUUCCUAUACCAUUGUUGUAAAAAUUGUCCUUGCUCCUACAGCAUCUACUAUUUUUGCUUCAUUCCAACUUUUUAUUAUUUUUGAACUAAAUGGUUCAGGUAGUUUGCUAAAAUAUAAUCUCCUUAUUUCCUUUCUCUUCUAUAUUAUAUUUUCCCUUAUAAUAAUAUUCUUCGAAUGCACAUGUAUAUUCAUCUAUAUAACACAUAUUACAUAUUGCUAAUUUCAACAUUAAAUUCCUAUUUGUAUCCUCUUCUAUAUUUUGUUCUUCUUCUUCUGUUUCCAUAUUACUAAAUUCAUUUCUUAUAGUCGUUUCAUAUUUUUUUAAUAUUUCUAUGGGUGAUGCUUUAGUUGUUCCUUCUUUAGUUGUACCUUCUGUAUUUUUGUCAGAUCUUAGUACCUUUUUACUUUCCUCAGUUAAAUUUGAUAGCCAUAAUUUUACUAUUCCUAUUAAUGUUCUUUCUAUAUAUUCUGGUGCAUCUGCUGUGUCUAUGUUAUUAUCUACUAAUUGUUUUGAUAUAUAUCCUACCCAUAAUUGUAUCGUCUUAUUUGUGUCUAUUACACAGUCUAAAUCUAAGUUGUAAUUUUUAUUAACUAUUUGUUUUGGUGUCCAUCUAUAUUCAUUUUUUGGGUUGUACAUAGUUUUGUAAUUCUAUUUUGAUUUUCUUAUUUCUGAUGUACUAGGUAUUAUGUUUUCGUCAUUUUUUGUAUCAAGAAUUUCUAGAUCUUAUAUUCUUUCUAAAAUUUCUGUAUAUGUUUCACUAUCUUCUGAAUCACAAUCAUUUAUUUUUUCAGUAUCUAUUGUAUUUAUUUCUAAUUCACUGAUCUUUAAUUCUUCAUUUUUUAUUUUUACUUUUUCUUUAAAUUGGUUUAUUUCAUCUAGUAGUUUCUGUUCUUUAUCCUUUUCGUCUUUUUCUCUUUGUCUUUUUUCAUAUAGAUCUUUUAGUGUUUGUAAUUCUUUUUCUAACUCAAUAAUCCUAUUAUUUUAUAUUUCUUCUAUUUAUCGAAUUUCAUCCGUAGUUUGUUGUUUCAUUUUUUCUAUUUCUUUUUUACUGUCUAUUUCUUCAUUUUCUUUUGCUAUUCUUACCAUAACUGUUAGUUUAUCUUCUAAUUUUAAUUCUUCUUUUUCUAACAUUAAAUAUAAAUGUUCACAUAUUUUCUUAUAUCUUCUUUCUAAAUUAAAAAAUACUAUUCUUAAUUUUAAUCCUUCGUGAUUUUCAUAUGUUUUUUUCAUCUAUUAUAAAUUCUUCUUUAUUCAUUUUAUCUAUUUGAGGGUAUAUAAGUCAUGUUGAUAUAGGUAUUCUAGGUUAUCUAUCAGAGAUUCUAAAUAUGAUAUUUCUUCUUUUUGUGUUUUUAUUAAUUUUUGACAUAAUCCAACAAUUAAUUAUACUGUAGUCUUUCUCUAUUUAUUUUUAAUUCUCUUUGUUUCACAGAUAAUAUCUGUUUUAGUUCCUUAUAUUUUUGGGAUUGGUCUAUAUUAUUCAUUAGUAUUUAUAAUAUUUUGGUAGAUAUCUAAAUUUAAUUCUAUAAUACAGUUCUUCUAUUUUUAAAUAGCAUAGCUUUGAUACCAAUUUUGGCGGUACUUGGAUACUGCUUCUAUCAUGUUUGUUGAAAUGCUAUGUUAUAGCAUUCUAUAGUUAUUUGUUUUAACCUUAUUAAUUCUUCUAUAUUAUUUUUAAGGUAUACUAUAUGCCUCAUAUCUUUUGAAGGAAACAUAAACAAGCUAGUGAUAUUCAUUUUCAGCAAAUACAUCAUCAUUAAUUAGUCUACUCGUCCAAUUUUUCACAAUAAAUCCUACUUGAAAAUAUAAUGAGGAAAACAAGAAUUAUAGCAUUUCUUUUGAUAACGUUGAAGGAACCAUAACCAUCUACUGAUGUUCAUUUCUCAACAAAUACAUCCGACUAUCAAAACAAGUUACAAAAUGGCUUUCAAGAAAAGAUUGGAUGCAUAUUACAUAAAAGAAUAAAAUCCAAAUAAACGAAAUCCUUUUCAAUCAUGCGUGUAAUGAAAUCGUUUUUACUCAUAGAACCAGAAUUAAGAAAAGAUCAAGACCUACUAGGAUACUAGGAAAUGAUGUGGAAGAUCCUAUACAACAAUUUCUUUUCUAGGAAGAUCAUAGAUUGCUCCAAAUUCUAGAAUUUGGAAACCUCUGAGCUCAUAUUGAACAUAUAACAUAAAGUUGGACUGAUAUAGUUGCGGAACAAACAGAGUAACAAAAUUCACAGCGUCUAAGGGUCUGUCAGGUACGAAGGGUCUGUCAGGUAGGAAGGAAAAUGUUUUUCUAGAAACUAUUUUCUUGGAAAAUAAAUGGAUUUCGUACUUAUUUUCUAGUCUCUGGAAAAUAAGCAAGAAAAUAUUCUACCUAAAACAUUUAAUGUAAUCUAGCGGAACACUACAGCGAUAUCUAGCAAAACACUAUAGCGAUGCGGUGGGAGUGAGGUUAGGGUGGCAGGGGUAGCGUUGGGGACAUUAGGUGGAUGGGACAAGCCAAUAAAAUUGUAAUGUCACUUAUGGAGCUUAUUUUCCGUAUUUCCAUUAGGAUAAACAUACUUUCAUUAGAAAGUUUUUAAAAAGCUUGUUUCCCACAAAAAAUGUUUUCGAAAUAUCAGAAAAACUGUUUUCGAAAUAUUGGACGAACCUCCAUACGGAAUAAACCCCAAUAUAUUUAAAAUAAUUGAACUGCAAGUAAAAACGGAAGAAAACUUCUUAAGAGAAAAAGAAAAAAACAAAAGAAAAUAAGGAACUAAUAAGAACUCCUAUUCGAGGAGAAAUUAAAAGGAAACUUGCUCACCGGAGACAAAGAGAUUGGUGGAUGGUUCAGCCGGUGGCUGCUUCUCUACUUGCGCUUGUGGUGGAUUAAAAGGAAAGUUAGACGAAAAUGUAGAGAAAACUGCUCUCAGACCUCGUGGUGCUACCGGAAUGGUGGUUGCGGCCGCUCGUAAGGCCAUUUUAGGGGUUCAGAAAUACACAAAAAAAAAUAAAAAAUAUCAGGGAUUUAGGUUUUUUUUUUUUUAAUAUAGAAAUAUCAAUCAAUCAACGAAUGAAUACUCGGUGCUUUAGAGUCGGGUUACGGGCUUCAGUCCAAUGGGCCGAAGUUCACACGUUCUCGGGUUUGGUAUGGGGUAAGUUUAGGGAGGGAUUAGGCGUUAAGAAUGUCUCGAGUCAACACAAAAUGUCUAUAAUAUCCUUCUUAAUUGCGUGUUGCAUCUCCUCUGUGUAGGGGUGAAUCGGUGAUCAUAUCAAGGUUUGGUUAAAAAUUGAAUCAUGACUAAAUCAAACCGAUUAAAAUAAUUAAUAUUUUAUUUAAUUUGAAAUUGUAAAAAUCAAUAAUAUUUGAUUUGAUUUUACAAAAAUAAAAAAGAAUAAAUAAUCCAACCGAACCAAUAAAUUAUAUAUAAAUUUUAUAAUCGACAUUUGAUUUUGUUGGAUUUGAUUUUAAAGUUUAAAAAUCGCUAAUAUUUGAUUUGGUUUUAGUUUUCCAAAAAAGAUUAUAGAAAAAAUGAUCAAACCGAACUGAUCAAUUAUAUACAUAAAUUUUAUAGUUAUUUGACUAUAUGAUAUUAGUUUUUCAUAAAUAAUUAUAAAUAUUUUAUAUCUUUCAAUCGUUUAUUCGAUUUUAGUUUACGUUUUCACAUGCUAACAAAACAAUAUGCUUCAACCUAACAAACCAAUAUGCUUAAACCUAACACUCUAAAUCUAAUUGUUCAUAUGUGAUGUAAUAUAUUACCAGUUUUUAUUCUUCUUUGCUAAGACAUCCAUCUAUUAUUCAAUAUAUUGUCCCUUUGAUUUUUGUAGGAUUAACCAUUAUAUUUAAAGUUGCAUAUUAAUUUUGUAUAUAUUAGACAUAUGAUGUGGAGUAACAUGUAUAGUUAUGCAAUUUAAAUAUACUAAACCAUCGAAAUAAUAUUAAAAAAAUUGAAGAUUCAUAUACAUUUAUCUUGUGAUAGUAAAGAGAACUUUGUUGAUUCCUAAUGUUCAUUUGAAAUAAUCAUCUCAUGUCUCCGUUAUUUUACCGCUAUUAAAUUAUCAUUAGCUAGUCAAAAUCAAAUUACUGAACUAAAUCAAAUCAAAUCGAUGAUUUUAUUUUAUUUUAAAUUUUUAAAAGCCAAUUAUGUUGAUUUGAUUUUGAUUUUAAUCAAAAAUCGACUCAAAUCGAAUCAUGAACACCUCUACCUAUGUUUGUGGUGGCACGGUGUGAAUAGACUGCCCCAAAGUCAACUCUCAACUCCUUAUAUUUUCUAAAAAGUUAGUAUUCCCUUCGUCCAACAACACUUGUUCACUACUGACUUGGCAUAUAAGUUAAGAAAUAAUUAAUAAUAUGAAUAAUUUUACUAUAUCACUAUAUAAAUAUAAUAAAUUUAAUAUCUUAGGAAAUACAUUGAAUGAUGAAUAAUAUGUAAUAGCAAGAAUAAAAUAGAUAGAAAAGAAUAAAUUAUUCAUUAAUUUUCAAAAAUAAAUAAAUAUUAUUGUACAUCUAUUUUUAAUAGAAGGAACAGAUAUUAUUGGAUGGAGGAAGAACAAUACAACAAUGUUAACACCCUUAUAUCAUACUCACAUUAGGCUAUUGAGUUGUAAUUCUAUUUAAUUUUUUUUUCACUCUUCAUUUCUUUUUUCAUUUUUCUUCUCUAUUCCCCACUAAUAGUCCUCUACUAACGAUUACUACAAGUUGAAUUUUGAAAAAAAAAAAAAAAAAACUCCAAAUAUACAGUUUACAUAAUCUUUGUUUACUUCAAUAACACAAAGACACCAUUUUUUCUUAACUUUUCGUUUCUCUCUUUAAUUAUACAAUCAAACUUUUUGCUAAAUUAGUGUCAUUCAAGUUGUGAAGGUUAUCAAAUAUGUCUCCACUGACACUGACAUUCAAGUGGUGAUGAUAUCUAUCUCAACCCCCAUGAUAUAUUAAGUCAAUUCAAUACUCAAACAGUAAUAAUAAAAGUAAAAAUGGAGAAGAACUAAAUAAAGAUAUGUCUCGAACAACAUCACAUAAUUAACACGAGAGGUACGAAAAAGUCAUAUUGCUAUAUUUAAAUUCUAGGCCGAAAACGUCAACCCUAGCCUCACAAGGGCAAGACUGAAUUUUAUUUGAAAAUCACAUUACCCAUAACUUUAAGGGUUCAAAUAUGAAAUUUAAUAAAAAAUUAAGUUAAUCAAAUCAUGAAUAAAUCAUUGGGGAAUGUGUAUAAAUAGUAUGAAAAUCAUAUUCAAAGAGAAACCGUUGAAAAACACCUUUUGAGUCUCCCAAAUUUGAGUUCUCAAGCUCCAAAAUUGAGGUAUAAAAAAUAAAAGGAGAAAAUAAGAAAAAUCCAUUGUAUCCACAAUAAUCUCCGCACAUGCAGAGAUAUGGUCACAAGCGGUGAAACUUCCAUAAAGACGAAAGUCACUAGUCAUGUAGGUUUCUAAAGAAAAGCGGACUUGUCCGGUAGGAGUGACAAAACGCUGAACUUUACUGGUGUGGCUCCAUAGUGCGGCCCAACACCAUAGGAGAUGCUAUUACAAACACUAGCAACUCAAGUUGAGCCAAAUGCGACUACCGAAUUCAAAAUCAACACCCAAAACUCAUCCUGAACUCUACGAAUACAAACUAACUAUGCUACUUGACUAAAAAUAGAAUUUUAAACUCAUUGAAACCGUUAAAACACCAAACAGAGGUCAUCUUUAAUGAAUGUUAACCGCAGGCAAUUUUAUAGUUUGAACUUCCUACUUUCCAACCAACUACUCAAAAUCUAUCAGAACGCCUCGAGACCUCAACCAUAGUCCUACUAAUCCAAAAAUGAAAUUGCACAACUAACAAAACUGACAUAAUUCUCAUACGAUCUUGUUAUCAUCAAUUAUUUACCAAAGUCAACUAUACUAACUUCUAAACCUUUCAGAAUGAAAAACUCAUACAAUACUCAACUAACCUCCUCACAGUUAUGCCACCCACAUGCACAGAUCAUAAAUACCAUAAAAAAAGUACAAGAAAGGAUAAAAUGGUCAAAAUGAACUAAGAGAAUAAAACACUAUGAGAGUUAUUACAUCAUCUACCACUAAACCACAUAUUCAACCUCUAAUGUUAGGAUAAGAAACGUACUCGAACUGUUAAAAAGUUAGAGAUAUCUACUCUAUAUGUCUGACUCUAUCUCCCAAGUGGUCUUCUCAACUAGGCAUGUGCACGAAUUGAUUCGGUUUAAUUUUAGCCAUCAUCAAAUUUCAAAUUUCAAUUUGUUAAAAUCUUAUCCUUACUCGAUUCAUUCUAGGUCUAAUUUGAUUUGUUUUCUUUAAUUAUUUUGAUUCGAUUUUGAAAUUUCAACAAGCAACUAUUUUCAUAAAUAUAAUACUCCCUCCAUCUUAUUUUAAGUGAUACUCUUUGACUUAGCACAACGUUUAAGAAAAAAAUGAAGAAUUUUGAAAUUUGUGGUUUACAACAAUACUCAAAUAUUUGUGUGACUAUAAAUCAUUUUAUUAAGGGUAAAAAGAUAAUCUUAAAGUUAAAUUGAUUCUAAUUAUUGUAAGAUGACAUUAUUUUUUUGGACGAACUAAAACAAAAAUUGUGCCACAUAAAAUGGGAUAAAAAGAGUAAAAGAUGUCAAAAUAUUUAAAACUAGUAAAUUUAUCCGCACUUCAUGUAGUUAAAAAUGAUGGUGGUUGGUAGAUUUCAAAUAAAAAAAAAUUAUGAGCUUACAACAAAGAAAUUCAUUUAUACAAACAAAAAAAAUAAUAAAAAAGCGUAUAAAAAUAAAUAAAUAAUAAAACAUUAUUUUUACGAUAUAUCUUAAUCAUAAACACAAAAGAAAAAAAUACAAAAUCAAUACACAAUCUUCUGAACUCUUAUUGGCAUCUCCCACAAGCCGACGCCACCAUUCAAUAGCCUUCAUCUUAUUCUUCGAGACAAAUAACAAAAAUAAAUGUAAUAAGCACCAAAAAUGUAACAUGAAACUUAAAAAAUUAAUGUGAUUGUUUGUACAAAAUUUUAAAAUAUUUAUUUAUAGGGUUGUAAUAUGAAAAUACUAAAUAUAUGUCAUAAAUAUGAUUAUUAAUUAUUUAAUAGGUCAUGAUAAUAAAAAGUUAUAGGAGUAAUGAAAAUAAUGAUCAUUAAAUUUUACAUUAAAGAAAUUUAAAGAAAAAAAAUUUAAAUUUCUUAACAUUGCAUAUUUAAUAUAAUUAAGAGAGUUGAAAGAAUUUUUUUUUUGAAGUUUUUUUAAUAUAGCACAUAAAUGAAAACAAAUAGUGAAAAAUUCAAAAAUUUGUAUUUCUUAGCCAACGAAAAUUCAAAAAUUUGUAUUUCUUAGCCAACAAAAGACGUCACGUCAUUUUUUUUCUAUUCUUAAUAUAUAUGUGUGUGUGCCUGUGUGUGUGAGAGAGAGAGACACUCCUUGACUUCUUCAUGUAUUUACUUUUUUACAUUUUGACAUUCCUUAAUAAAAAUUUUGGCUCCGUCAUUAUUUCACAUACAUAUAUUCAAUGAACAAAUAAAAAAUUGGUGAAAUACAUGUUUUCAGGCAUAAGAUGAAACUACAAAAGUGAAACAAAUAAGAAAGAACAGUCCAAAAGUAAAAACUUGUUUAUGAGUAUCAUAAUUGUAGAAAAUAGAACGUGAAGUAGAACAUGCAUAUAAUCACAUAGAAUUAUAAUUGCUCAAAGUGAUAAAAAGUAACUAAAAAUUGCUAUAAAAAGUAAAUGAAAAUUUGUAUUAAAGAAAUAAACACAAUUAUCUUAUUUUUAGUUUGAUGCUUAAAUUGUCUUGUUCAAAUCCUUCAUAAUGUCUCCUGAUCAAUUCAAAUCAAGAUACAUGCUCUAGAGGAAUAAUGCUUUCUUUGCUUUGAAGAUGCAAUAGACUAAAAAGAAGUAAAUAAAUUUGGUAAAAUUCUUGUUAUAAAUAUUCCAGUAUAUGAUUUAUAAAUAAAUAACAAUCUUAUUUAAAUACAAUAAUGGCCAAUUUAAAUAAACUAUUGUUACAUAUCUUUAUAAUCUCAACGUGAAACUUUUCAGUGUGAAUUCAAAUUUAAACAGGCUUUAAUGCGAAUAUCAAAUACGAAAAAAAAUCUUCAUAACCAAAGAAUCCUUUACAAAACCGCGUAGAGAGUCAAAUUAUAUGAUUUAGUAGAAACAACACAAAGUUUUGAUUGUUGUGUGAUCGCCUAUAUUAUCAUUAAAAAUUCAGAAAUUUAGAAUAGAGAGAUGAACUAAAAAGUAAAGAGCAAAAAUGAAAUCAAAUUAUAACACACUUAAAAAUCAUACAUGAUUCUAAAAUGAUAAAGAAUAUGGAGAGAUUGUGAUGAUUUUAGACACAGGUUUGUUUUACUUAUAUACAAUAUAGACAUAUAGAUUUAUGUUGAUUCAUUACAUAAUAAAUUAUCACUAAAUUUCUAAAUUAAUAACAUUGACUUUUGAGUUUUUGAAACGGGAAAAGAGUUAAAUGAAUAAUUAAUAGAAUGUAACAAGAAAUAAUUUUUAAGUUUUUUAAUGUAUCUUUUUAAAUUAAAAAAAUUAAGCUAAAUGUCAAAAAAUUGAGAAAAAAUCUAAAUGUGAUUUUUGACUUUAGAGACAUGCCACAUCAUCACUCUUAUGUUUCUCUUUUAUAUUAUAUAUAUAGAUAUAGAUUAAACCAUAAAUAGCUUGACUUGCAAGUUUAAAGUGCAAUUUAAAUCCAACCACAAUGAUUUAAAACUCAAAAGUACUAUUAUUUAGUGUACCUAGUUGAAGUGAGGACUAUACCCUAGAAAUAUACAAAUGGUAAAGGGAGCCAUAACAGGUUAAUAAAUUUUUAAUUUUAACUUUUUAUUUUUAAGAUCUGUUUUACCUCUCUCUAGGAGUUCUUACCCUUUUUGUUUCCUUGGUGACUUGAACUCACAAUAUUCAAGUUAUAAGUGAGGGAUGCGAACCAUCCUGUAAGACCCCGCAAAGUUCCCUUGUAGUUUGAACCUUGAGCGUGUCAAGUGAAGUGUAAUUUCGACCCUAAAAGAUUGAGAAGAGACUUCCUAAGUGAUAAGUGUUUUAAUCUUGUUUAAUUUUCUUGAAAAUGACUUCCUAUAGUUUAGAGAAUUGAAAUAUCUUUCCAACAAUACCAAUUUCAUCCAAAUCCGGCAUUGGGGUGGGAAGUAAUGGCCGUUUUACUGAGAGUGGUCGGAACCGCCUAGGUGCGACGGACAGGUUGACGGACCGUCGAGUGUGAGAUGGACCGUCGCCCGGACCAUCACAACCAAGGCAGUAACUCCCUUUUUUGGCCCAAGUACGAUGCACAAUCUGACGGACCGUCGAGUUUGCGACGGACCGUCACAUCAAGGCAGUGUGUUCUUUUUCUAACCAACGUGCGAUGAACGAUCCGACGGACCAUCAGGAUAGCGAUGGACUGUCGCUCCGACCGUCGCAACCCCCGUUUAGUAUUUUAAGUCAUUUUUAAAGGGGACUCUUCAUUCUUUCCACUCUUUUAUUAACCAGAUAUAUUCCAAACGAAGCAAAUGACUUUAUUCAUCAUCCAAAACACAAGAGAGAUAGGGUUUCUCCCUCAAGAUCUAAUCUAAAACCCUUCUCCAAGAAAUCCAAUAACUCACCAUAGAUUCUACAAAAUGAGUUGAGAUUUAGUUUUCUCAAGUUCAAGGGUUGCAAGAACCCUCUCUCAAUAGUAAGAAGAAGAGUUUGAACCAAGCUUGUUCAUCCAAUUUCAUAAUCUAAAGUAUGUGGGGUUUUGAACAAGGGUAAUCCUUUUACCCCUGUACCCAAAGACUUAUUUAAACUAUAAUUUUCUGCAAUCUAUGAGAUUUUACAUGAAUUUGAAUUAGGGUUUUUCACCCAUUGUUAUUGAUUGCAAUAUCUUGAUGUUUCCCAUGAAUUGAAAUUCAAAUAGCAUGAUUUUUGCAUGUUUUCUUAAGAUAUUGAAGAUGAGUUUAUACCCUAUGAUUUUAUUCCUUGAGAAGUUAAUAGUUGCAAUGUUUGAGAUAUUGAAGUAUAUGAAUAUGUUGAGAUUUUGGGACAAAUUGUUUUAACUUCCAGAUCUCUACAUGGAUUAUGGUUCUAUAUGUUAUCUAUUAUGCAUUUUGAUAAGUAUAAACUUGAGAUUGAAUUAUGGGUCACUAAGCCCUACUUGAGACUUGAAAUUUUAUGAACUAUUAUGCUAUAAGCACCCAUGAUAUGAGUGUUUUGAGAUUAUUGAGAAAUGUUUUGACCUAAUGGUCAUAGAGUUUUGAAAUUCACUCUACUACAUGAGAUUACAGAUUUGAUUAUUGGGUUCUGAUGAACCAUAAAAUUAUUUUGAAAGUGAUUUCUAUGAGAUGAGCGAGAUAAACUAAAGGGAGUAGUUUUUAGCACCGAGUUGGGUAAGUUACUAUGAUUUCUUACCUCAGAACUACGUGCUAUCGUAGGUUUAAGAUAAGUAAUCACUGAGUUGAGGUUAUACUCUUUGGCAAGAGUAUGACACCUCUCCCCAAUGUGAGGUUUCUUCCUUAGGAGGACAAGACGUUGGACUCUAUGUAGCUCGCAUGGUUUAUGUCAGUUAGGAGAACCUCCCUAAACUAAAGUAUUUUCCAUUGAGAUAGAAUAUUUUCCCUAAAGCUUUGAGAUGAGAUAUUUUGUAAAGUAAACGAAUUGCUGUUGAGUAUUUUCCCAAGAAGGAAGUAGUUUUCUCUACUAAUAAGAGUUGAUCAUCAGUUGUUAAACCAAAGUCAUAUGAUUCUGAGUUCCAAGUGUUUGAGUUCAAAAGAGUUAUAAGUCCUUGAGCAAUAAAGAAGUUUUACUCUCCAUGAGAUAUAGGCAUGAGUUGAAAGUAUUGUUUAAAGCUUCCCUCAUCCUGUGAGUAAUGAUAAUAAGAGGAGAGUACAGAUUUUAAAGCCAAAGUAUAAUGACUCACGAGAUUUGUGUUACAUGCUUCAUUCUACAUGAUUUAUGAGCUUUACAUUUUAGACUUAUUCAAGCCAUGUAAGUCAUUCCUAUUUGCAUGCAUGAUUUGAUUAAAGAGUAUUGAUAUUGUUUUAUGUAAAUGCAUACAUCCCCAUAUACUCAGUACAUUCCCAAGUGCUGAUCCACAUAUACGUCUAUGUGCUACAUUGUCUUAUAAUGUAGGUUCAGGUGCUCAGUCUCAGCCUCGUCAGUGAUUCCCAAGUACCUUCAUCUAUAUUUCUACUGUGGUGAGUCCUCAUGGUUCAAGGAACUAUCUUCAGACAUUUCAAUAUUCGAGUGUUUAUGUUAUUACUUUCAGUUUAGUUUGAGUCAGUUGGGUACCUGUCCCAAUGACUCUCGAGUUCAUGGAGUAGUAGAGGCUUUGUUAGAUUAGUUAUCAGACUGUGGUUGUGUUGAGAUUUCCAGUAUUGUGAUCAUUUAUACCGAGUAUUACCUUUAUAUUUCCUCUCAUUUUAUAUGACCGUGUUUUGUAUAUUCCUUCUUGAAUGAGUUAUUAUGAGAAGUGAUAGGCUUAAAGGUUUAGCUUGGGGCUACUUGUUUCCCUAAGCACCAUGUGACGUCCCGAAAGGUGAUUUUGGGUCGUUACAAACUUGGCAUUAUAGCCUAAGGUUUUAAAGGUGUCCUAGGGAGUCCGACAAGCCGCGUUAAGUAGAGUCUUGAUCAUCGGUGUGUAGUUGCCAUAUCUAUGAGCAAGAGGCUACAAUACGUUUUAAGAAAAAGUUAUUUUUCUUUCAGAUUCCAUUGUGCCAGCAGUUGUCCCUCUCAUCUAAUAAUUCAUGCUCUCCUAUUUUAGAAAAUGACUCUCCAAAGAGCGAAUGCCCGCAAAAACUGAUAAUGCUCAACUUACACUUCAAUUUAGUGCAAGACGGUUGUCGUCAAUAUAUUUACCCAACUUUGGAGUCGGGGUCGAAUCCACAGGGAACAAUGUAAGUGGCGAUUAACCUAGUUUGAAACUAAAGCUACAAGUUAAAUUCAAACAACUGGCACGAAAACAUAUAAUGGGGGUUUUGAGUUUAACAAAUAAUUGUUGGUCACUUUGGUUUCUGUGUUUGUAAUUAAGAGUUUAUGAGAAACCAGAAUUAUGUUCACUAGGGUUUUGGUACUUGACAGAUGCUACUAAUGGUUCAAGAUUCCCACAGUAGGUAGGACAACAAGUUAUCUUUAUCGACUUUAUGCUUAAAUGUCUCUCGACCUACUUAAGCAUUUAAUUACCUUAUCCUAUUGGACUUAGGGAAUUUAUAUUUACUGCCCAGAUUUUACCUCAGGUUAACCAACCUUGUUACAACGCUGAUUAUUAAACGGAGUAUUUUCAAGUCCCUUUUGAUAAUUCACUUCCCACUAUAUUUGAUUUCUUUCUCAAGCAAACCAAAGCAGGUGUUUUCUAUUAUUUGCAACCAACAGACAUUAAUUAAAACCUCAAAAUUAUUAAGAAAUUCUACCACCUUUUGAAUCUUGAGCACUUAGCACCUUAUCAAGACCUAACCCUAGAUACCAUAAUUCAGGUUAAAGGAAUUUAGCCACUAAUAAUGCUAAAAUCCAAACAACAAGUUGUAUUCACGCUUUGAAAGUUAAACUUACCACAAGAAGAAUAAUAACUAGUGAAUCGCACAUUCGAUCACAAAGGAAAAAUCCCAGAAUAAUGAUAAUAAUAUCUUCAAAGUAUUUGCUUUUUCAAGCCAUAAAAUUAGAGAGAAAAUAUCAAAAGUAUUGUCAAAACUCAAUGUGUGGAACUUUUCAGAAAACCUUAAAACAAAGCUUUACAUAGUUCACCCUAAUUAUGGAAACAAAAUAAUAGAAUUCAGAAAUCCCUCAGAUUAGGUGACGACAUUUGUGAUAGCCUAUCAGAAGGAUGACGACUUAUCAUAAAUGCUGUUAGCUCCUUCUUCAAUUUUGGCUCUUCCUGUUUAAGGCUGACGAUAAACUUGACAACUUAUUAGCUUUGUGACGGCCUGUCAUAAAAUAUCGUCAAAGCUUUACUUCAGUUCUCCUGUGCUGCCUCAGGUUGAUGACAUUCUUGACAGCUUAUCAGACCAUUGACGACUUAUCACAUAAUGUCGUCACUUCUUUCAACUUAGGCCAAUUCUCUGUUUACUGCUGACGACGAACUUGAUAACUUGUCACAGGGCUGACGACUUAUCACAAAUGCUGUCAGCCACACUUUUCUUCAAAUUUCUUCAUAUCUUAACUUUUUUGCUUCCAUUCUUGUUGGUUCUCUAUCAUAUCAGCUUAAACUGCAAAAUCAAACAUAAGCCAAUCAAAAAUAACAAAAGUUGCUUAAGACUUCACAAUUAUUCUUAGGUAAAAGCCUCAAAUGUGUUAGCAUUAGCUCACACAUCAACACCCUCAACUUAAAACAAUUGUUUGUCCUCAAGCAACUCAACUCAACUAAGAGAUUACAAAGUACAUUUAGCAGUCAAUCAUCCAUAUCAUCUCAAAACACUUUUACCAUCUCAAAGGUCACUCAAUUCAAGAACAAUGAAGAACACCAAUGCAACACGCAGGAAUCAAGAUACAACAUUAAUUCAGUUAUAAAAACAAUGCACAGACUAUUAUUACACUACCCGAAUAAGUCAGUAAAUAGAAAUAUAACCAGUGUGCCCUCCUAGCAAAGAAAUCCCCCUCAUCUCAUAUCAGGAAUUAUAUAUGUAAGCAUAGGGACAAUCAAAACACCCACUCUCAAAAUGAAGUUCCAAUCAGUGUAUCUCAACUACCAUAGGCUUGCCCUUAUUUUCAUUACCCAGAUCUUCAGAUAGGUCAGCUAGGAUCACUAUAGAACUUCUGUUAGGCUUGUAAUGUAUGGUAGGGGCUAGUAUGAUACUUGAUGGUAUUUAAAGUGACUAAACCUCCUUGAAUAUACACUAGCUUUUUGGGGUUACGCUCAUUAGCCUUUUCUGCUCUUCUCUUUCCUUGAUCACACUUAUUUAGGCUGGGUACAGUGUUUUCUCAAUUACUUAUUCUUUUUCACAAUUUUUUUUCUUGCCCUUUCUUCUGUAGCCAGCUUUUUAUUCUUUUCUUUUAUGCUACCUUUCUUCAUACUCAUUCUGUAUCACGCACCCCUAUGUUAUCCACCCUCAACUUAGGCUAUUUGCCUAAGUUAAGGUGCACAGUAUCCAAGGAGGACCAGGGCUAAAAUAGGUUCAUUAUGAUCUAAAUGAGAAGGUGAAAAAUGUCAUACAGAGAAAUAGGCUAAUUAGGCUCAAAAUAGGGAUCAAGGGAUAUGAUACACAUAGGGAAGGUGGUUUAGGCUAAAAGUGGGCUAAUAUCAAAAUGACCUAUGAUCCUUUCCUAACCCCUAUCCUUCAACCUAGGUAAUACUAACCGAGAAAGUAAUGAAUCCAACAUACAGAGGGAACUAAAUAAAAUCUCAUACCAUAAAAUGUGCUCACCAUCUUGGCAUACUCAUCGAUGCCAUCGCUAUCAAAAUUCACGAUGACUGUUCUAACGCCUCAACCCUAAGUCUCUUUGCAAUGGGCACAGUGACUUCAUCAUCAUCACUAGUAUCAAUCAUGGACACCACUCUUAUAUCUUUCGGCUAUCAUAUAAAUUGACAAAUAUUAAAAAUGACUUACUAAUCAUUGAGUUUGAACUUUAUCUACCCCAUCUCUAUGUCAAUCAAGGCCCUACCCGUAUCUAGGAAAGGACUUCCUAAGAAAAUAGAGACUUCAAAGUCCACCUCACAAUCCAAGAUCAUAAAGUCAACCAGAAAUAUAAAGGAUGAAACCUUCACCAAUACAUCACACAAAAUACCAAUUGAUUUCUUAAUAGUCUGACUGGUUGUAGAUGUAGGUUUGGGUGCCCCCAACCCAACUACCUGUAUACCACUAACAUGAGAUUGAUGCUAGAUCCUAAAUCAUAUAAUGCUUGAGAGAAGUUAAAGGACCUAAUAGUACAUAGAAUGGUGAAUGCUCCAAGGUCCUUCUUUUUCUCCACUAAUGAUCGGGUAGCCACGACACUACAAUAGUGCACAUUAUCUGUGGGAUUAAAGCUCACCAUCCACUUCUUAGUGAACAAGUCCUUCAUAAACUCCACAUAGCCAGGCAUAUUCUCUAAAGCUUCUACAAGAAGAAUGUUAACAAAUAACUCCUUUAUCUUAGACACACAUUCUGGUACUUCCCUUUCUCUUGCUUUUUUUUUUCAACGAAUGAGGAAAAGGUGGGGGAGGACGUGAAAUAGUCUUCAACACUGGUUUAUCUACCUUUCUUUUACCACUAUCCUUAGAAACCUCUUUCUCAAAACCUAUUGAUUGUUGUUAUGACUUAGCAUUAGUCACCACCUCCUUUAACUCUGAUUCAAGUGCCUUAUCUAUAUUAAUGCUAUCUUUCUUUGACUCAUCAACCAUGAGCAUAGGAGAGUCAAUAGUUGUCUUACCACUUUCUGUGGUGAUGGCAAGACAGUUACUAUUGUUCAUAGGAUUUUUCACUAUAUUACUUGGAAGGGUACUUUGUCGCCUCUUAUUCAAGGUUGCUGACAUUUGACUGAAUUAUUGCUCCAACUAUUUGAUCGCAGUAGCAUGCGAUUCUACCUUCUGGUUCCAACCUGAAAUGUCUGCCUUAAUCUCCUUAAGGUAAGUUUCUUGACUUUUCUAUCCUUUGACUAGCUUGGACAACAUCGCCUCGAUCCUUGAUUCACUAUCUCGAUUACCUAGUGGAACAUAUCUGUCCCAUUUCUAUUUAUAGUCAUCCUUACGUCUCUAGUCACCGUCUCUCUCUCUACUCCAAUCUCUGUACCUAUCUUUAUACUAGUUCUGACCUUGGUUUCAUUGCCCUUGGCUUGGAACCCACCAACUCUCUGUCAAGAUACUUGGCCUCUUCUUCUAAAUCAGAAUCAUAUGAGUUAGAGGCCUUACCCUAUGAGCCAACAACAUUUACCUUUUAAGAAUUCAUUAUUGCAAACUACUUCAUCAAUAGCCCAACCUCAGUUCUAAGCUGCGCAACCUCCCUUUGAAUCAUCAACCACUCUAUGCUCACUAGAUUCCCAAUGGCAUAAGUGCCAGCACUCCUUUCUACCUCUCGAGUAUGCCACCCUCAGUUGGUGAGAAAGAUCUGAUCUAAUAUAUUUGAUGCUACCUCCCAACAGAAGCAAAUAAAUGCCCACCACUAAUAGUGCCUGCCAUAGCUCUUGAACUGGUAUUAAGGGCUCUAUACAAUAUUUCUAACAAAUUCUGUCUCAAAAUUCUAUUAUUAGGCACCAUCAUCAACUUUUUCUUAUACGAAAACCAUGCCAUAGACAUUGACUCAAAAUACAAUUGCCUGAAGUUAUAUAUCUCAUCUUUCAACUAUAACAUUAUGGCUAGAGAAAAUAAAUAGUCUGAAAACUGCCUCCGCAAUUCAUUCUAAGUGGUAAUUAAUCUGCGAUGAAGUUCCCCUAACCAUAACAUAACUUCACCAGUCAAUGACAACGAGAACAACCUGAGUCUUUGUGCUUCCUGAUCUAUUCUCGGUAUAAUAUAUGAAGUUUAGAUCCUAAUAAAGUUUGUGAGGUGCAUAUUUACGUUAUCAGUUAGUAAGCCCGCAAAUAAACCCUUCAGGUUCAACAGUUGGAUCAUAGCAUUAGUGAUAUAAAACUUCACAUUUGGUGGCAAUGUAGGAGGAAUUAUAGUUCCUAUCUUGGUAGGCUCAAUAUACCCCAAGUCCUUUUCUGGAUCUUCAUAUGGUGGCAAGUAUUGAUAGGAUAGUAGUACUUGAGCUCUACCAUCUCUAACCCUGUCUCAAUUUCUAUCAAGUGUUGCUUGACGAUCAACAACUGGCCUUUGCCUCGCCAGCUUAGCUUCUUAAGAUAUAUGCUGGGUAUCUAUUUUCCUCCUCUGGUUAGCAGCUACUUUUUAUAUUAAUUGCUCGGUAUGUUGAUAAAAAAUGUCCUCAAAUAUAGGAGGCGGAGAAGUAGGCAUAACACUUGGAUCAUCUCAAACCCAUUCAGAUGGCCUUCAUGUACGUGUUCUAUCAUUGUAUGAUUCUGCUAUAGAAUUCACUCUAGGUUAGGAUGUAGUGGGAGUAAGGGAUUGCCUUGAUAUCUAGUGUUAGGGAUACACCGGCGUACACCCAAUGAAUAAUAACAAAAUAGAACCAAAAACUUCAACAACUUCAAUCAAUAAUUCCUUAACUGUAUUUCCCAAAAACAAUGCCAAAAUUUGAUGUUGCCUGAAACUUACCUCCAAAGAAGUAUACCGCGAUGUCAAAUACAGUAACCCAACUAGGUUAGGGUCGAUCUGUCAUGACCUAAUUUAUAUGUGAUGAUGGUACCUAUUAAGUCCUGCCAGUAGGUAAGCAAUACCAUAACUCAGAGCUAUCGUAAUGGGUUAAUUUGGUAAGGAAUGCCAACAUAGGCCAAAUUUAAUGGAUACAAGUUAAAAUAUAAACAAAGUGUUCUAAUAUUAACAAACAGUUAUCAUAAGAUACCAAUCCCACGACCUGGUAAAGAUAGUACAAGAGCAUAUAAUAUCAAUAAUACAACCCAAAAGUCUUAGAAUAUAGUCAAUCCAUCUGUUUCAAAUACUAAAGAUUGAAUGUAAAAGAUAAGGGAAAGUAGGUGAUUUGAACUCCAUGAACUCACCCUAUCUCCAGAAGUCAAUCACCACACGAGCUCAAAUCAACGAUGAUAGCUAGUACUCAAAUCUAUACCAAAAGGUACAAAAGUGUAGUAUGAGUACCAAAACACUAGGUUCUUAGUAGGCAUCAUCGCUCGACUAAGCUAAGUCCUGAUAUAAGCAUGAUAAAGUGUAAGAUAAUCAUAACUAAGUCAAGGUACAGAAUCAAACCUAAAUAAUCUCCAUCAUAACUGUAUAUAAUAAUUGUUCAUAUCAAACUAAUAGUAUAACAUAAGACAUCAUCACAUGCCAAUAUCACUGUACGUAGAAAGCAAUAAAUAACGGAAUAACAAUAUAUCAUAAGGCAUCAACACAUACCAAUAUCGUCAUACAUAAGAAUCAAAUAGUUUAAAAUCAUAACACGUUAUAACAUUAACAUAAGCAUUCACAAGUACAAAGUUAUCACCCAUAAACCAACUGUGAAUAAAGUAAAGAACUCAUCACCACAUCCCAUACCACUAGAGAGUACACCCAAGAGAAUCAUAAAGGAAUCAAGCCAACAAUAUAUCCAAACUUCUUCAUUAUUCCAUAGUUUUCCACAAUUUUCAUCAAUCAACCAUUUACCAACAUUCACAAUGAUCAUCCAUAUUCAUAAUUAAACAACAUGUACCAAAGACUCAUAACUAUAAUAAUAAUAAUAAUACCAGCUAACAACUAUAUCAUUGAUAUGUACUAAUAGAUCCUUCUUAGCUAGCCAACGUUUAUAACUAAUCUAAUUACUCACUAGUCAUCAUAUAACCUUAAAUUAUUAUCUAUCCACUAUUCAUCAUAUAAUCACUAUUCAUGGGUCAAUGACUAACCAUUAUUUACUAACUAACCAAUAUCUAGCACCUACCCAAGAUUCACCGCUAGACCAUAUUCAUCCAUAAACCAAUACUUAUUUCUAGCCAUCAUAAUUCCAUUAGUCCCCAUUUAUCAAAUGGACUCUUAUCACAAUUUAUUCACUAAUCAUCUAUUAUCUAACAUCUAUUAUUAACAAGCAUUAUUAAUCUAUAAAUUCCCGUUUAACCACUAAACAACAACAUAGACUUAGUCAUUAAUAGAAACUAAUCAUCACCUUCACUAAACCCAUUAUCAGUAACCUCCAUAACAAAAUAAACAUCACUAUUAAUAGCUAUCGGUGCCACUAGUCCUCUUCGUCACUAAGGUUCACUAAUCCAUUAUUCAUAAUUAGCCACCUAAGCAAUAUCGACCAUAAAUCAUCUUUUAAGCCUUAAGUUAACAUCUAUACCACUUCAUACCUUAAAUUAUUAGAAGACUAUAACUGGCCACUCUAAUGUCAACAUUAUACCCAACUACACAAGAGUAGAAAUAAACACAUAAUUGCCAUACAUAGGGCUAGCCUAGAUCAAACCGGUAGAUAUACACAUAAGCAUAUCAAUAAUUAUCCUCGGUCUUGCCGGGUAUCGUCAUAUCAUCAUAGUAUCCUUCGUCCUUGCCGGGUAUCAUUAUAUCAUUAUAGUAUUCUUUGGCCUUACCGAGCAUCAUCAUAUCAUUAUAGUAUCCUCCAGCUUUGCUAGGUAUCAUCAUAUCAUCAUAGUAUCCUCUAGCCUUGUUGGGUAUCAUCAUAUUAUCAUAGCAUCCCCCGACCUUUCCGGGUAUCAUCAUAUCAUUAUAGUAUUCUUUGACCUUGUCGGGUAUCAUCAAAGUUUUCUUCGGCCUUGUCGGGUAUCAUCAUAGUAUUCUCCGGCCUUGCUGGGUAUUAUUAUAAUAUCCUAUGGCCUUAUUGGAUAUCAUCAUAUCGUUAUAUUAUCCUCCAACCUUGCUGGGUAUCAUUAUAGUAUCACAAUAUAUAAAUUAAUAUCAUUAAUAAAUGAUAAACCCCAUAAGGGCUAAAGUAAAUUGCAAGCCCCACGAGGGCUAAAGUAAAUGACAUGCUAUACGAGGGCUAAAGUAAAUAUAUAUAAAGGAGAAGUGAAGAAAAUCAUACCUCCAUAAUCCAAUGCUCAUCAUCAAUUUCACUUUAUCAAUAAAUAUAUGUAUAUGUAACAUGAAUAAUAUAAACUACCGUUGGGUUUUCCCUAAAAAUUAUAUCUUCAACACCAAUAUCUUCUUUGUACCAUACCAGAGAGAUAUAAUAAGUUGAAAAAGUAUUAACAUAAUUAGUCAUAUAAUGAGGAAUCAUAAGUCCAAGAAUGAUCUAUAGAAUAACUCUACAUAUAAUCAACAAGCAUGCCUUCAAGCACCAUUAACAUUAUCAUCUCCAAUAUCGACAAUAGGGAAGAUUGUCAAUGUGAUUAUUAACAUAAUUACUAAGAAUGAUCAUAAGAUGAGCCACAACAUAGUUAAUGGACCAGGGACUAGCCUAAUCAAUGGCUUAAUCAAUGAUGUAGACAUGGCUUAAACAAAAGUAUCAUCAAGGGCUUGUCAUUACAUACUCUAUAAUCUAAUCAUUUAGAGCACAAGCAUAACCAUGAGCAAUAUUAUAAACAAUGGUCCAUUAUUAGCAUAUUUAUUGGCCUAUCAUUGGUCUAAAGAUAGUUUAUCAAUAGUGUAAGCAAUAUCUAAAUCGAGGCAUAAUCUAUAUCUUAUUCAUAGCAGGGUUAAUAACACCAUUUAUGGCUUAGGCCAUAUCAUAGUCAAGGGCUCAUUCAAUAGCAUAUUCGUUAGCCCAAACAAUAGUCAAUCACAAUAAAAUAAUUAAUAGCUCAACAUAAGCUUUAGCCAAUAAGACAUUCAAGGGCAUAAUCACUUGGGCAUUACUUUCAAUGCCAUUCCUCAUAACCAACAAGUACCAACAGUCACCAAUAUUUCCUAAAAAGGGCACUCUCUAGUCAAUUAUUAAGUGUAAGAACUCAAGAGAACUAACCAUAAGUCUUGCCUUAAGGUGGGUCAACGAGCCCACUUCUAAAUUCCCGAAAUGCAUUCUAAGUUAAUUUCUACCCCGGACUAGGCUGAGGUAUCUAAAUCAACUCUUAGAUAUAUAGCAAGCCACCAUAAUCCCUAAGGUAGAUAUUUUAUUCAAGUACUUUUACUAAGUCUAAUGGAACUAAGGCAACCUUUUCUAGUAUAAGCAACUAAGGCCAAUUUACUCUAAGUAUGAGAAACUAGAGCAUUUUACCUAAGGUUGAGUAUUCUAAGGCAUUCUCAUGCUAAGCAUGAGUAAUGAAGUCUAUUCCAUCUAAGAUAAUAAGAAACAAGUCAAGCUUUUACAACUCUAAGAUUCACAUAGUCUAAAUGAUCCAAAUAACCCAAGUCUUGCAUCUCAUUAAUACAAUUCUUAGAGUCCAUCCCAAUCUAACAAGAUAUUACAAUUAUACUAUGACAUAGCUCAAUCUAACAAGGAAUAAGCCUAGCUGCCUCAAAUUUGAUGAAUACUCAACAAUCCGCUAAACCUCCACUUUUUCCUUUUGAGAAGCUUAUUCAAGGUGUCAAGCAAUUAAAAACACAUUUUACAUAGCCUUACGUGAAUAUUGAUACCUAUAUUGCACCAUUAUGCUUUGGAUCCAAAAACAACACUAAAAAUCCUAGUUGGGUCCCACUUAUGGAAAAUAUAUUUUCGAGGUCAACCCAAUGUUCAUACACCAUCAAGGAAUCAUAACAUCAAGAAAUAGGUGAAAUCUAAGCUUAUUUGGGGCUAAAUCAAGCCUCUAAGCUAUUUGGGGUUUUAGUCAAGAAUUCAAGCAUGAAAUGGAAGGAUUCAUAGCUCAAAUCCAUUUUUAAUAAUAGAAAUAUAUGUUUACUAAGCUCCCAAGAACUCCCAAGACUAAAUUAGAGUUAAGCACACCAUUUUAGGGUUCCUUGGUCUAAAAAAUGAGUGAAAAUACCUAAAAACAUGGCCUAAAAGCCAUUUAAAUACCCUUCCCAAACAAAGAGAUAUCGUGAUCGCUGUCCAUGGACCAUGAUCAUAGUAAGGUGAUCACGAUUCAUGCUUGUGCUAUUGUGGCAUCUUCACCUUGCACUAGGUUUCAGUUGAAACUUGGAAGAAAUUCCAAGUUUCGGCCAAUGCCCCGGGAUUCAUUCAAAAUUCCAUAUAUAUAAAUGAGCUAUGUAACCACACAAAUUUCAACGUUAUGGAUGCUUUGGCAAAGUUGGAUUCUCCAUCUGAGGUUAUUUCGACCAAAUGUGGGUUCCAAACUCGAAUUUCAAAUUUUCCCACUUUUUGGCUGAUAGGUCAAAAUGAGCUAGGGUGCAUUAGGACCCAAACCAAAGGUUUACUUAGUCUAAAAUCGAUAUUCCAGAGUUGCUAGUGCAGUCAAAAUUUGCAUUCAAGAUUAUUUUAUUGAUGUUUUUGCUCGGUGGCCAUUUAAAAUAGGCAAAGACUUCUAAAUAGAUAAUUGACUCUAAACACUAAAUAAAAUUCCUUGUAACCAAACUAUCACUUCCAGUAAGUCAUAAAUGACUUGAGGAAGCUAUCGAAAACCGCACAUGGUGAACUAAGAAGAAACAAUGACCUAAAGGGUCAUUAUAAUUGAUGUGUGAGCAAAAGCUAACAAAUUUAAUGCUUUUUAGCUCAAAAUAAUUGUGAAUUUUGAAGCAAAUCUUAUUUUUUUGAUGUGUUUGCUCAUGAUAUUAUAGUAAAAGGUUGAAGGAGUAAGAACCAAUGACAAUGGAGCAAAAGAGUUGAAAAACUGAGCAAAAGAGAAGAAAUCAUGGCUGACAACCUCCGUGAUACGUCGUCAGCCUUGUGAUAGCUUAUCAUCAUUGGCAUCAACAUUAAACAAAACUUGAAGCCUGAGUAGAAGUUUUGACGACGUUGGUGAUAAUGCGUCAAGUUGGUGAUAAGACGUCACGACGGACGUCAGCUUAAACCAGAGAAUUGAGUUCGAAGAAAAAAUCUGACGACGUUGGUGAUAUGCCAUCAUAUCAGUGAUGCGACGUCAGCUAUAUCGUCAGCCUAAGAUAGAUUUUAAAGGCAACUGAAGCAUUCUGAUGCCAUCUGUGAUAGGUCAUCAGACUCUUGACGCGACGUCAGCUUGGGCGUCACCUAUUCUGAGAAUUUUAUUAAGUUUUGUUAUUUUAUUUUCUUAAUUAGGAUUUAGUAUAAAUAGCAUCUUUUACAGUUUCAUUCACAACUACGGAAGCAGCUUUUGACAUCUUGUAACUUAGUAAAGGGGAGUUCACUUGUUUUUGCCUCUCUUAACUUAGAAUUCAAUUUUCCAUCCUUUGAUUUAGUUGUGGUAAAUUCUUAUUGUACUUGAAGGAGAAACAACUUUAAAUUUCAUCUUUUGUAAGUUCACUUGCUUUAAGUUAUGAAUUUAAUCUUUGUUAUCUCUUUCUAUCUUAUGAGCAACUAAAAUCCACAACUAGGGUUGUGGGAUCUAUGAUUAUUAUUUUAUUGAUUUAAUAGUUGAUUAGGGUUUAAGUGAUUGUGGGAACGUCUUGAAAUUCUGUUAUUUUAACUUGAAUCUAUUGGUUGCAAAAAUUAGGUUAUGCCUUAGGUUUUAUUUGCUUCUAACAGAGAAAUAUACUAGAGGUCGUGAAUUAUCCAUAGGGACUUGAAAGCUACCAACCUUCUGUUUAAUGAUUGAUGCCGUAACUGGAUCAAUCUACCAGAGAUAACAUCCGGUUGGAAAUAGACAUGUUAUCUAAGUUCGAGAGAAUUAGAUAAUAAAUUAUCUGGUGAGGUCGAGAGAUAAGUCAGAUUGUAUCAUCGGUAGGGAUAAUCUGCUGUUCCCACCUAUUACGAGAAUCAUGAACAAUUAUUAUUCAAUGGAGAUUAAUAGUCAUGGUGAUCACAACCCUAGUUUCUCUAUAUCAUUGAUUUGAAAUAUUGAAAUCUAAGUUUUGAGUUAUAAAAUAAGUUGAAAUGCUAAAAUUUGUUUGAUUGAUAAAAACCCCUAUUUUGUCCUUUUCUUAUUAUGUAUUUGAAUUUGACUUGUAUCUAUAAUUUUGAACUAGUUUAAUCGCCACUCACAUUGUUCCCUGUGGAUUCGAUCCUGACUCCGAAGUUGGGUAAAUAUAUUGACGACGAUCGCCUUGCACUUAUUUGAGGUGUAAUUUGAGCGUUAUAAAAAAUGGCACCGUUGCAGGGGAACAAUUUAGCGUAUUGAGUUAGUUUGGAAUUUUAGCUUACUUGAUUGAAUUCAAACUUGUAAAUAUUUGUUUGUGAUUUCCUUUGUUUUUUGUGUUAGGCAGAUUUUAUUUAUUUUUUAUUAUUUCUUACUAUGGCAUCAUGGAAUGAAUGUGAGUUUGAUGGUUGGAAAUCUUAUCUGGAUGAUUCAUGUUCAUAUUUUGAUUGACCCCACUUUUGCCAUAACUGUAGAGAUACUCCCCGGAGAGAAAUGUGUGCACCAUCUCCAUCCUACCGGGAGUAUAAUUGUUCUUUAUGUAGUGGUCAAGAUGGACAUUAGAUUGAUUUCUCAAAUUCCCCCUUCCCCUAUUGCGCUAACCCAAGUUCUAGUUCUUCUUAUGAGUAUGACAGUUCUUAUGGUCAACAAAAGGAAGAACGCAACACUAGAAAGAGUGACAUUAAAGCUAUGCUUCAACUAAUGUUGGAUCCUAUAGAUACAAUAAAUGAUACCAUAUGUGAAAUACGUUAAGACAUUAGGGUAUUUAAUGAGGGAAGAGAAAGGAUAGAAGAGAUGGAUAUUGAGGUUAAUCAUCCAAAACACUUUUCUACAUUAUAUUUAGAUGAUAUCUUGUCUGUGGAAUCAUUUAAAAUAAUAAAAGUGUGUGACAAUGAAGAUCAUGAUUCCUAUACUGAUGAUGAGCUUGAUGUUGAUCAAUCCUUAGUGAUUUCCCAACCAACCGAGCCAACCAUGAGGGAUAAUGCCAAGAUUGAGGGAAUGGUUCUAGAGGCAAAAGAAGAAGCCAAGCCAAUCCUUAUAAAGACUCUAGCCCAAUUCAAAGUAAAAUGUUGAAAAGAUGAAUAAAAGUGAGUGUGUAGAGGAUAGUGUAAACUUUGAAGUAGGAUUGUUGGGCCACACUUGAAGCAUUUUUCCACAUUAUGUUUAGAUGAUAUCUUAUUUGUGGAAUCAUCUAACAAGUGGAAUAUUGUGAAGAUGAGGAACAAGAAUCCUAUAUUCUUUAUUUUACACUUGAAAAGCAACACAAAAACACACCUCACUUUAAAGCUGAGUUGUUUACCAUGCAUCAUCCAUUACUCAGCUUCUUAAUCUUUGUACCAUCUCCCUAUGAUCAAGGCAAGAAGAUGGACUCUAAGUUGGGGGUGAAAUUCAUAUCCUCAAGGUGAAGGAAAAAGAAGAGUUGGGUCAUGCCGCGACGUUAAACUAGGCGCUUCUUGGGAGGCAACCCAAGGUAUUUUGUUGUUUGUAUUCAUAUUAUGUGAUUUAUAUCAGAUCUUCGCACCCAUGGUGCCACAGGUAUGUUUCUAACUCUCUUGCUUUGAUUUGACGUAUUGGGAACAAUGCAUGAUAUUAAGUUAAGGGUGGGGCUACUUGUGGGUGUUGAUGUCCUCCCGGGGUUUUCGUUGCCGUGCCUCUUUUUCCCAGAGUCUUUUUCCUAGUAAAGCCGGCAUGUUUAGGCGUAUUGUGUUUUGUUUUGUGAUGUGUUGUGGUUAAUUGGGAGAAAAUAAGUAUCUAGGAUAGUUGACAUAUUUUUGUUGAUUUUUGAGACUGAUAAACACCUCUUCGUUGGUCUGUUAUAACUGUGUGAUAUAAAUUUAUGUGUCACCACUGUGCAUCUUGUUAUGGCAUUAGUACUAGUGACAUGAUAUCCACUGCUAAACAAUCGCAUGAACCGGAUAGGUAGUAGCUUAUGAUGCACCUUUGUGCCAUGUGUGUGUGAGAUACUACUUAGUUCCCUUUGUGUGUUAAAUCCAGAACUUGCCCGGUUAGUCUUACUUUGGUUGAAAGAUAGGGGUUAGGAAAGGAUCAUAGGUCGUUGUUGAUGUUAGUCCACUUUUAGCCUAAAUGACUUUCCCUAUUAUGCAUGAUAUCUCUUGAUCCCUCUUUUGAGCCUAAAUUGACCAUUUCUUUCUAUGAAAACUAUCACCUUCCCAUUUAUAUCAUAAUGAACCUGUUUUGGCCCUAGUCCUCCUUGGAUACUGUGCACCUUGACUUAGGCAAACAACCUAAGUUGAGGGUGGCUAUCAUAGGGGUGCGUGAUAUAAAAUGAGUAUAAAGAAUGGUAGAAUAAAAGAAAAAAGAAUAAAAAGUAGGGUUCUGUGGAAAAAGAAUAAGAAAAGAAUAGUUGUGAAAAAAAAAGAAUAAGAAAAGCCACAUCCAUCCUGAAUAAUGUGUGAUCAAGAAAAGGAGAAAAAGAAGAGAAAGGUUAAUAAGUGAACCCCAAACGUUAAGGUAGUGCCAAGGACGAUUAGUUACUCUAAAUGCAAUUGAAUAUCAUACCAGCCCUUAGCCUACAUUACAAGCAGAAGAAAAGACCUAUAAUGAUCCUAACUUACCUGUCUGGACACCUUGGUAAUGAAAAUAAGGGCAAGCAUAUGGUAUUUGACAUGCAUUGAUUGGAAUUUCUUUUUGAGAGUGGGUGUCUCUUGACCAUCCCCGCAUUGACAUGCUUGAGUUCAUAUAUGAGUGACGAGGGACUUCUUUGUUGUAAGGGCACAUCGGUUGCAUUGCUAGCUGUUUACUUAUUUGGGUAGUGUAACUUGUACAUAUUUAUGGUUAUUGUUGCUGAAUUGAUGCCAUAUCUUGAUUCCUUUGGGUCACAUUGUUAAUCUUCAUGGAUAUGCACAAUUGGAUUGAACAUGGAGAGUGGCAUGAGUUUUGAGCUAAACUUGAUAAUCAACUAUGAUAGGUAUCUUAUGUAUCUCUUGGUUAAGCAUCGCAGUAUGGUGUUAUAUAGUUGCUUGAAGACAAGCAAUUGUUUUUAAAAUAAUUGUGAAUUCUGAAGCAACUCUUAUUGUUUUGAUGUGUUUGCUAAUGAUAUUGCAGUAAAAGGCUAAAGGAAUAAAAACAAAUGACAAUAGAGCAAAAGAGUUGAAAAUCUGAGCAAAAUAGAAGAAAUCAUGGAUGACGACCUCUAUGAUACGUCGUCAGCCUUGUAAUAGCUUAUCAGCAUUGGCGUCAACCUUAACCAGAAACUUGAAGCCUGAGAAGAAGUUCUGACGAACAUUGGUGAUAAGGUGUCAAGUUGGUGAUAAGGCAUCACGAAGGGCGUUAGCUUAAACCAGAGAAUUGAGUUCGAAGAAGAAAUCUGACGACGUUGGUGAUAUGCCGUCAGAUCGGUGAUGCGGUGCUAGCUACAUCGUCAGCCUAAGACAGAUUUUGAAGGCAACUGAAGCAUUCUGACGCCAUCCGUGAUAGGGCGUCAGACUCUUAACGCGGCGUCAGCUUGGGCAUCACCUAUUCCGAUAAUUUUAUUAAGUUUUGUUAUUUUAUUUCCUUAAUUAGGCUUUAGUAUAAAUAACAUCUUUUAGGGUUUCAUUCAUAACUGCUGAAGCGGCUUUUGACAUCUUGUAACUUAGUAAAGGGGAGUUCACUUGUUUUUGACUCUCUUAACUUAGAAUUCAAUUUUCCAUCCUUUGAUUUAGUUGUGGGAAAUUCUUACUGUACUUGAAGGAGAAACAACUUUAAAUUUUAUCUUUUGUAAGUUCACUUGCUUUACGUUAUGAAUUUAAUCUUUGUUAUCUCUUUCUAUCUUAUGAGCAACUAAAACCCACAACUAGGGUUGUGGGAUCUAUGAUUAUUAUUUCAUUGAAUUAAUAGUUGGAUUAGGGUUUGAGUGAUUGUGGGAACAUCUUGAAAUUUUGUUGUUUUAACUUGAAUCUAUUGGUUGCAAAAAUUAGGUUAUGCCUUAGGUUUUAUUUGCUUCUAACGGAGAAAUUGACUAGAGGUCGUGAAUUAUCAAUAGGGACUUGGAAGCUACCAACCUUCUGUUUAAUAAUUGAUGCCGUAACUGGAUCAAUCUACCUGAGAUAACAUCCGGUUGGAAAUAGAUAUGUUAUCUAAGUUCGAGAGAAUUAGAUAGUAAAUUGUCUGGUGAGGUCAAGAGAUAAGUCAGAUAGUAUCAUCAGCUGGGAUAAUCUGAUGUUCCCACCUAUCACGAGAAUCAUGAACUAUUAUUAUUCAAAGGAGAUUAAUAGUCAUAGUGAUCACAACCUUAGUUUCUCUAUAUCAUUGAUUCGAAAUAUUGAAAUCUAAGUUUUGAGUUCUAAAAUAAGUUGAAAUGCUAAAAUUUGUUUGAUUGAUAAAAGCCUCUAUUUUGUCCUUUCCUUAUUAUGCAUUUGAAUUUAACUUGUAGCUAUAGUUUCGAACUAGUUUAAUCGCCACUCACAUUGUUCCCUGUGGAUUCGACCCCGACUCCAAAGUUGGGUAAAUAUAUUGACAACGACCGCCUUGCACUUAUUUGAGGUGUAAGUUGAGCGUUAUUAAUAAUAUCCACUACUAAUGAAACUUUCGUAACCGAAAGUUAAGAACUAGGAUAUACUAGAAGUCUUGAACAGGUGAGGAUAUUGGGACAACAUCUCGCUCUAAUCUCCGAAGUGGCCUCUUCCACUGGGUGGUGUCUCUACUGAACCUCAAUAAUCAGAAUCUCUCUGAUGCGCAAUCUUCUCACAUAACUAACCAAAAUGAUCACAUGCUUCUCAACAAUGGUCAAAAUCUCAUCCAACUAAACCGAUUCCCAUCUAAGCAUAUGAAAAGAAUUAGGACUAAAUGGCCACAACUUAGAGCCAUGGAAAACCAGAUGAAAAGUAGCAAAAUCCGGAGGUAAAGCUAACUUUUAAGCUACCUUUCCAACUAGUUAAAGAAUCUCAAAGAGGCCAAUACAUCUCUGACUGAGCUUACCCUUCCUCCAAAACCUCAUCACACCCUUCCUGGCCAAAAUAUGGAGGAACAUAUGAUAACCAAUUGCAAAUCUCAAGGCAUAGAGCCGAUGAUCUGCAUAGGCCUUCUGCCUACUAUAAGCUGCUUUCGACCUAUCCUAAAUCACCCUGACUAUCCAAUGAGUCCUAAAGUAAACCUGAACCUCGGGGCCUAACCUCAUAAGUCUCAGCCAUCCAACUGGAGAAUGACAUCUCCUACCAUACAAAGCCACAAUACAUCUUAGGAAACACGACUACACCCUGAAGCUAGUUAAACAAAUCAUCAAUGUGAGGCAUAGGAUAAAUGGUUCUUCACUGUCACCUUAUUAAGGUACUUAUAAUCGAUACACAAACGCAUACAACCAUCUUUAUUCUUCACAAAUAGUACAGGAGCACCUCAGAGGGACACUCUCAAUCUAAUAAAACCCUUAUCGAAAAAUUCCAAAAGUUAAUAAUUUAGCUCCUUAACCUCAGUAAGAGCCAUAUGGUAAGGUGCUAUAGAAAUAGGUCGGGUGCCAGGCUCGGGGUUAAUAGCAAAUCAAUCUCAUAGAUGGGGGGAAUACCAGGCAAGUCGGGUGGGAACACAUUUGGAAACUCACAAACAAUAAGCAUAGAGUCAAGCGACGGACUCUCCGUAGGAGUGUCAUAAUACAAUGGAGAUAAGAUUCGCAACCCCUCAAAAUAAGUCUACUAGCACACGCAUAAGAGAUAAUCCCCAUCAGCUUAUGGAUAACAACUCUCUGCUAUACGACUGGGGGUACGUUAGGUAUGGAUAAGCUAACAGUCUUGACAAAAUAGUUCAUGACCACAUAGUAGUGUGAUAACAAGUCUAUGCCCAGAAUCACAUCAAAAUCUAGCAUAUCCAGAAUAAUAAGAUCAACAUAAGUAUUAAUAUCACUAACAGUCACUAAACAUGAUUUGAAUACUCGAUCCAUUACUAAAGAAUUACCAUGGAAGUAGAUACGCGCAAUGACACAGAUAAUGAAUCAUAAGAUAACUCUAACAAUGGUACAUAAUAAGCAAAGAUAUAAAAAUAAGUGGAUCUCGAAUCAAAUAAAGCAAGGGUCAACUAGCGACACACCAAAAUCACAGCUGUAACUAUUGUAUCCAAAGUCUAAGUUUUGGGUCUUGCAGGUACUGCAUAUAACAGACCACGCCUGCCACUUGGCUGGGAACCUAAUCGACCUUCUUUCCUACCUAUUUGAGAAUCUCCUCAAGUACCCUAAAAACCACCCCUACGACCAUGAUAACCAACUCUAGCUGAGGGGUGAACUGCUCUAAGCUGAAUCAACCAUUGCCGCACGACUAGGGCAAUCCCAUAAAUAGUGACCAGGAAGUCCACAUGUAUAAUAGUAAUAUGAGCAGAACUAGAACCAAUAGAUUUGAAUAUCCCAAAAUAACCACCAUAUCUGGAUAGACAAGAAAAUAAACCCCUCGAAGAUUGACCACUGCCCUUUUUUGGGAAAUAUCAAGCACUAGAAUGACCUUCGUCAGUAAUCUAAGGGCUGCCUGAAUAGGUCAAUUUGACUGACUUUAAGGAUGAAAAGAUGGACACAAAGGAUACCUACUCUGGGUAGACAUAUGAAUGGAAAUCCUCAACCCUCUGCAGAGUAGCAAACUCUCUCACACUCAACAACCGUCUUAGAGUCCUGCUAUAAUCUUGAGAGCUGACCUCUCAAUCGAUCACUAAAGUUGUAUGGCAUAUACUUCUCCAAGAACAUCUCAAAGAACUGAGUCCAUGGCAAAGAGAGAAGAUCCAACUGGUCUAGAAUUCAUAUAACCUCUCCACCAAUGAUGAGCAAACAAGUCUAAUUGAAAUAUAUUGUAAUCUAUAGAAUGAUCCUCAAUAAGUCCUAAACCACAAAGACUGCACUCACAAGCAGUUAGGAGCUCAUGUGCAUCCUCUCCAGGAGCACCAAAAAAUGUUGGUGGAUCUAACCUCAGGUAGUUUUCUAACAUUUUUUGCUCCUCAAAAAACAUUACAGGCUAAGCAACCACUACUGGGCAACUACCAACUUAGAAGACAUAAAUAUUUGGAUAAAAUCCUAGGUUAUCUGGUGUUCAUAACCUACCAUCUCUGAAGAAUUUAGCUACCAUGACAACUCCAUAAACCAAUAAAUUAAGAAAAUUUUAUAACUCAAGUUUGAGAAUCAUGAAUUAUAUAAUAUAAUGAAGGAUUGCAAUUUUAGAUAUGCAAUGAUACAUGGGCUUAUAUAUCAAUAAUAACAAAAAAUAGAAUUAUAAAGAUAUUCAAAAUAUUCAUGAAUGCUAGGCUCUAUGGAAGGAAUUAAACUAAGGAUUUGAGUUAACAUUAGGACUCAAUGUGUGAAAACAAAACCCAUUGGUGAAACCCAUGUACCUAAAGAUAGAAACCUUGAAGAAUUUCUUGAAAUUAGGGCCUAAAAGUAAAAAUCCAUAGUUUUUGCAUUUUGGGAGAAAAUCAUUUCUUUUUUUUUAUUUCUAAUUAAGUGUAGUUUGUUUUUAAGUGAUUGAGAGGAUUAGGGUGAUAUUAAUCUUAAUAACCAGACUUGUACUAGAUUAAAAGACACAGUUUUAGUGUUACAUGAGUGAAAAAGACCAAACAACCUUUUUAAAAUCAUCUAAGAAGUAGCUGGUAUCAGUCCUAAGGACUCACAUGACAACUCAUAGGGUCUGGUUAUGAGUUAUGGCCUGAUUCAUUGCCUAGGACUUGAUUUUUGCUUUCCUUAUCAUUUACAAUGAGUCACCUUAUGACUCAUAAGUAUACCAAUAACUUAUAGUGUUUGAACCAUUGUCACUGACAACUUUAAUAGUGCUUUAGUAAAAUGGCCAUAAUUUUUUACUCCGAUACCAAAUUAAUGAGAAAUUAGAUGCGUUGGAAAGAAGACUCAAAAACUAUUAUUUUGAUGGGUAUUGAGAUAAAAAUUACUUUUAAAUCUAGAAGUUAUGAUCAUUUAAGUUUGACUAUUAAAAGAUUUGUCAUAAGAAAUUCAUCGGUAAGGGAGGUCUCAAAUUGGCUAUGAGCUAGGAGUUAUUUGAGGCCUUAAUACUUGUCUAAAUCAGUUGUCAUACUACCAAAAUGUGAUUUUUGGUCCUAUACGUACUUAAAUCAUGAUUUUAAUCUUAGAUUGGAUUCUUGAGGUGUUACAAUAUCUCCUCCUUAGGGCUAUUCAUCCCCGAAUAUAUACUGACUAAGAUGGAGAACAAGGGAAAGAGCUACAAUCCCAACACUGAAUUUGUAUGAAUUGAAUAUUGACAUGAAAACUAAGUUUAUAAAUAAAACACAGAUUGAACUAAACUAGUGAAUGCAUGAUAUGGCAUAUAAAUAACUGAGUGACAUAAGACAAAGAAUUAAUUAAAGAGAAACUAUUAACUCAAGCUGAAACAUAAUUCAAACAGAAAUUAUGGGGGUACUUGGUCAUCAUAUCUGUGUUUGCUUCCCAAGAAGAUCCCUCAACUAGUUUAUCAACUUACGACCUUGAUGAUCAAGAAUCUCAACUGGGACUUCCUUAUAAGAUAGGCUAUCUUUCAUACCUGUACUAUCUAAAGUCACAACCGAUGCCGGAUCACUAAUGUAUUUCUUUAACUGAGACACACAACAAAUUGGAUGCAUUGAUGCUAAGUCUGUGGGCAAAGCUAACUCAUAUGCCAUAUUGCCAAACUGAUCCACCAGUAUAGUAGGGAGUGAUUUUCCCUUUCUUACCAAAUCUCUUCACCCUUUUCAUGGUGAAAUUUUUCAAUAGAUAAAAUUACGAAUAGGGAACUCAAGUUCCCCUCCUCCUUACAUAUGAAUAGGAUUUCUAAUGACUCUAAGGUAUUUUUAGUCUCUCUCUAAUCAGCUGAACUUUCUCUAUAAUCUCAUGAAUUAAUCUUACCCUAUUGAGGUAGGUUCACCAACUUCAAACCAACCAAUAGUAAAUCUACAUCUCCUACCAUAAAUUUCUUCAAACAAGGUUAUCUAAAUACUAAAGGGCUAGCUAUUAUUAUAAGCAAACUAAAUUAAAGGAAAAUGAACAUACCAACUACCCUUGAAAUCAAUCCUCCAAAUUCUAAAUUGUUCGCUCUGCCUGGCCAUCUGUCUACGAAUAAAAAGCCAUACUAAAAUGAAAUUGGGUACCAAGACCCUUCUGAAAUGUCUUCCAAAACUAAGAGGUAAAUUGAGUACCUCUAUUUGAGUUGAUAGUCAGAGGAACUCCAUGCAAUUUCACCAAAUCUCCAAGGUAGAGUCUAGAAUAAUACUCGACUAAGUUUGAAGUAUUAACUAGUAAAAAAUAAGCUGACUUGGUUAUUCGAUCUACAAUAACCUAAAUUGAAUCACGAUGUCAGUGAGUACGAGGCAAUGCUAUAAUAAAGUUUAUAUUCACCACUUUCUACUUCCAAGUAGAAAUACUAAUAUCUUGAAUCAUACCACUAGGUCUUUGGUGCUCAACCACUAGCUAUUUGGACACUUAGCCAAAAAUUUUACGUUAUCCUUCUUCAUGCCAUUCCAUCAAUAAACUUUCCAUAGAUCGUGGUACAUCCUAGUAGCUCCUGGGUGAAUAGAAUAUCAAGAACUUUGAGCUUAUAUUAGCAUCCUCUAUCUCAAGUCAUCCACACUUGGAACACAUAAUAUGCCUUGACAACGAAGAACGCCAUCUCCCCCUUAAGAGAAACCUUAACUUUCCGACUUUGAACAACCUCUUUUAUCUUAACGAAAAUAGGAUCACUAUCUUGUUUUUUCUUUUACCUCGACUAUCAAAGAGGAUUUUGAACCAUUUUGAAUCAAGACACUACCUUUGGAUGAAUCACCCAACUGAACUCCCAAUCUAGCCUAUAUGUGAACCUCAGGAACUAACUCUUUCUUCCCAUCCUCUACAUGACCAACACUUCUUAUAGAUAACCUACUAAAAGUGCCAACCACUACAUUGUCUUUACCUGAAUGGUAUAAGACACUCAUAUCGUAAUCGUUCAAUGACUCUAUCCAUUUUCUCUGACAAAGAUUUAGAUCUUUCUGGCUGAAUAGAUAUUGAAGGCUAUUUUGAUCUGUGAACACAUCAAUAUAAACCCCAUAAAGAUAGUACCUUAAAAUUUUAAAGGAAAAAAUACUUGUUUCCAACUCAAGAUCAUGAGUCAAGUGAUUCUUUUCAUGAGGUUUGAGCUAUCUAGAGCCAUAUGCUAUAACCUUGCCAUAUUGCAUCAACACACAACCAAGACCAACUCUACAAGCAUCAUAAUAAACCACAAACCUAUCCUAACCCUUAAGUAGAGUCAAAAUUAGCGGAGGUUAGUCCAGUAUUCAACUACUAAAACUUUUCUCAAAAGAAUCAAACCACAAAAACUUGUCAUUUUGCUGAUUCAAUCUAGACAAAGGGAAAAUAUUAAAGUAAAGGCCCUCAAUAAAUCUUCUGUAGUAACCAGCUAAACCCAUAAAACUCUUGAUAUUUGAUGGAGAAACGAGUCUAGGUUAAUUUCUAAUUGCUCUGAUCUUUGGAAAACCAUCCUGAAUGCCCUCACUGAAAAUGGUAUGACCAAGGAAUGCUACUGAUUUUAGCUAGAAUUUACUUAAAGAAUUUAGCAUAUAACUAGUGAUCUUUGAAAUUUUGGAAGACAAUUCUCAAAUGUUUUGUAUGUUCAUCCUCACUCAGAAUAAACAAGGUUACCAUCAAUGAAGAAAGUGACGAACAUGUCCAAGCACUACUUAAAUACCAAGAUCAACAAGUCAAUAAAAGUUGUAGCAGUAUUGAAAGUUGAUAACACAUAAAAAAAAUUAAACCAACCAUACUGAGUUCUGAAUGCUAUCUUCAAAAUGUCUCAUUCUUUGACUCUGAACUAAUGAUAGUCGAAUAUGAGGUAUAUCUUAGAUAACCAAUCGGCACCCUGAAUUUGGUCAAACAAGUUAUUAAUCUUGUGAAUAAGAUAUUUGUUUUUUAUUAUGACUCUGUUCAACAAACAUUUAAUACCCUAUAUUUCCCUAGUCUAGAUUAACUCUCAGUACAUAGGAUUAUCCUAAAUAAUUUUUUUGAUAUACUCAGUAAUUUUUAGAUUUGAGCCUGCUAUUACGUAGAAAAUUCAAUUAGCUUUCCAUCGAUACAAAAUUUGCCCAAAUCUGACCCCCGGGCGAAGAGUUAGAGCUAUUUUAGUGAGACAGUGUAUCACCUGGUACUUUAGUGCCUCACAGAGCCAGCUAAAAUGGAAUUUGUCGAAAACCAGUGAGCCUCCGUGAUAUUGGCGUGUCGUGCCAAGGCUCAAUUUUAGAAUUAUCAAUUUUCAGUGCACAAACGCGAUCCCACUGCAUCGCGAUGCCCUUUAAGUUCGCACCAAGAUGGCAAUGUGAUACUACUGCAUCACGCCACCAACCAGUUUCCCAGUCAUCCGCUUUCCAGUGAGAUGGCGCGAUUCACCGCAUCGUGCCAACAUGUAAAAUUGAGAUUUUUGUUCAGGUUCUGGUACUUAAUUUCAGGGACCAUUUGAUAAUUUCCCAAAGCCCCUAGUCAUCCUAAAUAUGGGAUUUAUACCCUUAAUAGUGAAAAUUUUUUCAUUAUGUUCACUAUUCCUCAAGAACAAAAGCACACUCUCUCAAAUUAGCAAACCCCAGUCUUAAGAAUCAAGCUCAACCCUAAGAAUCUCUCCAAGAACUUCAAGAAACUCACGAAUUAAGGUAUGUUAGAUGUUCAUUAAUGGGUCCUUUCUACCCAUGAAGCCCAAGAAUCUCAUUUCAAAUAUAAAUAUUGUAUAUUUAUUAGUUUUCAUGAUUUGUUUGAAUUGAAGUUCCUGUUCAUAUUGUUAUUGGUUUUAAUUCAUAUUUUAGAUUACAAGUUCCAAGGUUUGAUCCUAGUAUGUGAUGAUUUGCAUGAUGUUCAUAAUAAACCCUUCAAAUUUGCAAGUGGAUUGAUGUAGACAUGAUAAUUUAGAUGUAAUAAUUGUUGUAUGACCAAACCAUGCUCCCCAUAUGUUUGAUAAAAUGCCUAUGUGACUGAAAUAGAGUCAUUAUAGAAUGUUUAUAAGAAACCCUUAUUUAUGUAUAAGUUAAUGCAUGCCAAGUGUUUGAUGAAAGACCUUAUUGAAUAAAUCACGAGACAUUAGUAUGCAUCCCUAUACAUUUACAAGUUUAUGAAUUUCAAGUGCUUGAUGAAAUGCCUCAUUAAUUAUAUUGUGAGUGAUUGACUAUUGUCAUGUUAUUCAAGAAUUUGCCAUGUCUUACUAAUUUUUCUAUCGAGUCCUGGGGGUAUUCAAUACCUGAUAAUUUAGCUGAUUACCUAGAGCCAGUGUCAGUUUCAAGAUAAUCUCAGUCAUGCCAUGAACUCAGUAGAACUCAGUCAGUUAUAGAACUUAGGAAAACUCAGUAGUUUUAGUAUCUGUCCAAUCCAGUUUUAGUAAUCAGUUUGGAAACUCAGUAGCAUUCAGUUAGAUAACAGAAUUCAGUAGUAUUCCGUUAGUCAAUAAAACCCAGUGAACUCAGUUAGAUCAGUUAGGUAACAUGACCAGCAAUAGAUUCAGCCUAGUCUAGAACAGUCUAAAAAUCAGUUCAGUGUCUAUUCAGUUAGGAGUAGGAUUCAGCACCGAGAAAGAGUAGGGAUGUCGGCUUCCCGCUAGUUAGUCUAAGUCAUUAGUAGAAGUCCCUAUACUCCAGAACUACGUAGCCAGUGUAGAUGAGGAGUCACCCAUCAGAUUAAGGCUUGUCUACCUCUUAGGGGUCACCCUUCAGAUCUAGUUUUUAGUAUUACAGUAUUAGUAAGCUCAGAUAAGAGUUAGUAUUCAAAACUCGAUAUCUAGUGUUAGUAUGACCUCAGUUACAGUUUAUGUUUUUAUGUAUGCAUUCUCAUUCAGUAGUCUCAUGUUAUUCAGUCAAUUUUAUGUUCUACAUAUGAACCCUUGCGUUUAGCCUUACCUCAUCUAGCAUACCAAUACAUUCCCUCGUACUGAUGCAUACUUUCUUACGCUAUGGUGUAUUUUACCAUAGGUUCAGACACACUGGCUCCCGAGCACCCUUAGCAGUUCAGAUUCAGCCAGCAGCAGUAGACUUAGCAGUUAGUCUUUAUCUUUCGAGGAUGUUCCUUAUUUUAUUAUUGCAUUUGAUUUUGUAUUCUAGUAGAUGGAGUUAGUUAGAGGAUUGUCCCAUCAACUUUACAGUUCAGACAGAUUAGAGGCUUUUCAGACUAGAGUAUUUUCAGACAGUUGUUUUAGUUUUGGUAUUGUUAUACCUUAUAUAGUUGUAUUUCAAUUUUGAACCUUAUAUCAAGUUUUCCACCAGAUUUCAACAUUUUACACUAUGUUAUUCAGUGCUCAAUUAUAGAUAUUAGUCAUGGGUUAGCUUGUGGUCCUUUGAAAUUAUGAGCACCGUGUAGCGUCCGAAGUUCAGAAUCUGGGAUGUUACAAACUUGGUAUCAAAGCCUAAGAUUUAACAGUGUCCUACAAAGUCUAAAAGCCUCAUCUAGUAAAGUCUUAUGCAUGGGUAUGUAGCGCACCAUACUUAUGGAAAAGAGGCUAUGUGAUAUUUUAGGAACAUUUUCCUUUCUUUAAGUAUGCAUGUCGUGUGAGUGAGAAUGUGCUAUAGUAAAAUGCUCAGUCUAAUCUGCUUCUCUCUUUCAUUACAAAAUAUGCCUCCUCACAGAGAUAAUACCUAUAGAAAUGAUAACCAGCCACCUCAGCCUGCAGAUCCUUUGAAUGAGAAUGUAUCAUAAGCAGAGUUUUGAGCAGAUUUUUAGGUGCUAGACCAAGCUAUGAUAGCUAAUGUUCAGGGUAACCUUCAAGCUGCAGCCCUACCUUAACAAGAUGGGGAUUUAGCUGCAACUAGAAUCAAAGAUUUUAUUAGAAUAAACUCACCAGAAUUCUUUGGGUCAAAGGUAGGUGAGGACCCAUAACUUUUUCUUAAUGAGGUGAAGAAGAUCACACAGAUUAUACAUAUCUCUGAAGAGAAGAGUGUCGAAUGGGUAUCCUAUAGGCUAAAGGAUAUUGCUUAUAUUGGGUAGUGAUAUGAAAGAAGAGUAGAGGGGAGGAUGCAACUCUCAUAACCUGGCAGAUAUUUCAGGAUGAAUUCUUAGACAAGUUUUUUCCACUUAAGAUAAGGGAAACUAAGAUAGAAGAGUUCAUGAACCUGAUGCAGGGCUCUAUAAUAGUGAAGGAGUAUUUCCUUAAGUUCAAAUAGUUGUCUAAGUAUGCCCCUGAUCAGAUAGCUAACCCUAGAUGAAGCAUGAGUAAGUUUGUGAUCGGUGUGUCUGGGUUAGUGGUUAAGGAGUGUAGGACUGCUAUGCUCAAUAAAAACAUGGAUAUUUCUAGAUUGAUGAUGCACGCUCAAAAAAUUAAGGUAGAGAAAGAUAAGGAAAGAUAGAGAGUAAAUAAGAGAGCCAGAAUAGGUAGUUCUAGUUUUUUUCAGCCAGGGUUACUGGUGGUAACCGUUCUCAGCAUAGUUAGAAGUUUUUAGUCCCAGCUCCAUCUUCAGCUAGUGAACUAAUACCAAAGUUUAGGAAUGACACUCAUGAUCGGGAGCCAGUUUUAAAGACCCAGGGUAGUGUGAGAAGUGAUCGUACCUCUGCUUUGUGAAGACUAUGGUAGAAAUUACCUAGGUGUGUAGAGAAAUCAGCGAUGUAUGCUUUGGAUGCGGGUUGUAGGAGUGUAAAAUAAUGAUUCAUAGGGGUAGAUAUUUGCGUUAGCAGGGUGCCACUUCCAAUACCACUGGUGGUCAGCGCCAGAACAGAUUUUAUGCACUCCAGACUUGCCAUGAUUAGAGAAGUUCUCCUAACAUAGAUUCGGGUAUGUUAUGAGUUUUUCAUCUUUAUGAUAUUCUUUGUUAGAUCCUUUGCUCCCAGUUGAGCUUAAGUUUUUAGCACGAGUUAGUCAGUAAGUCCGAUAAUUCAGUUUAACAGUCAAGCAGUCAAAUUCGUAUGUUUGUUUUUUCCCUAUCUUUCAAUCUAGUCAUAUUAUCAAAUAUCUCAGGGAUGUAACUAUUCCCAGAUAGAACAUCCUAGUAGCUGCAAGUUCAACUUAGUUCAUAAAGCAUGCAUUAGCUUCAUAUCCCAUAUAUUAAGUCACAAUUCGGUCCUUAGGUGCCCUAUGCAUCGCCCCAGUAUCUCAGUGAAGUAAGCAUUCUUAGAGGGACAUAGUGUUCCCAAGGGGGAGAUGGUAGAAUAAUUAACCAAGUCAGGCUUUCAUAUUUUAGUAGUGAUAUUAGUAAUGUUAGUACUCAUGCCUUACAUGUCAGUUCUAUAAUCACAGAUCAUAUUCGUGCAUUGUCCCAUGCUUUUUAUCUGUAUCUCUAUCAAGUCAAUACUCUUCGAGGGACACAGUGUCCUAAGGUGGAGCUGCACUAUAACCCUCGAGCUAUUAUCAUCUAAACCUUUCAAUUUCUUUUGGCAUAACAAAUUCAGUUUGAGAUAGUGGGUACUCAUAGUUGACCCUCUAGUUCCAACCUCAGCCAUAAACUAUGUACUCAAGGGCUCAGUUCAGUUCACGAUAUUUCAUUCGUGUAUCAUGUUUCAGACUCGUUCAUGUUCUCAUGUUCCCGUUCAUACAUGUUCAGUAAAUGAUCUUAGGCUUAUCAGUGUUCUCAGCUUAAGAUUAUAGUCUUCCUUAGAUCUACUCAGUUCCAUGUUCAAUUAUAUCUAUAAUAUUAAGUAUCAAUUAUUGUUGCAUAUUUAGUUAUGCAAUCAUGAAUCAGUUCAUUUAUAUAAUCAUGCAUCAGAUAUGCAUGUUUAGAAUGUAAGUUCAGUUUAUCAGACCAGUCACAUAAUAUUUUUUCAGUUGUGCAUGUCUAGUUCAUUAUGUAAGCUCAGUUUUCCAGUACUCUCUUAUCUUAACCAGCCACAUUCGAGGCCGAAAGUUCCCAAGGUGGAGAUAUUGUAAUACCCCAUAUUUUCGUAGCCUAGAUUAACCCUUAGUAUAUGGGAUUAUCCUAAACAAUUUUUUUGAUAUACUCAGUACUUUUCAAAUUCGAGUAUUAGCUUUCCAUCGAUACCAAAUUUGCCCAAAUUCGACACUUGGGCGAAUAGUUAGAGCCAUUUUAGUGAGAUAAUGUAUCACCUGGUACUUUAGGGUGUCACGGAGCCAGCUAAAAUGGCAUUUUUUGAAAAACAGUGAGCCUCCAUGAUAUUGGCGUGUCGCGCCAAGGCUCAAUUUCAGAAUUGUCAAUUUUCAGUGCACCAACGCAAUCCCACCGCACGCGUUGCUCUUUCAGUUUGCAUCUAAGGUGGAAAUGCGAUACCACCGCGUUGCACCACCAACUAGUUUCCCAGUCUUCCACUUUCCAAUGAGUUGGCAUGAUAUCACCACGUCGUGCCAGCAUGUAAAAUCAGGAUUUUUAUUCAGGUUUUGUUAUUUAAUUUUAGGGACUAUUUGGUAAUUUCCCAAAGCCCCUAGUCAGCCUAAAUACAGGAUUUAUACCCUUAAUAGCCAAAAUUGUUCAUUGUGUUCACAAUUCCUUAAGAACAAAUGCACACUCUCUCAAAUUAGCAAACCCUAGUCUCAAGAAUCAAGGUCAACCCAAAGAAUCUCUCCAAGAACUCUAAGAAACUCACGAAUUAAGGUAUGUUAGAUGUUCAUUCAUGGGUCCCUUCCACCCAUGAAGCCCAAGAAUCUCCUUUCAAAUAUAAAUAUUGUGUAUUUAUGAGUUUUCAUGAUUUGUUUGAAUUUAAGUUCAUGUUUAUGUUAUUUUUUGGUUUUAAUUCACGUUUUAGAUUAUAAGUUCCAAGAUUUGAUCCUAGUAUGUGAUGAUUUGCAUGAUGUUCAUGAUAAACCCUUCAAAUUUGCAAGUGAAUUGAUGUAGCCAUAAUAAUUUAGAUGUAAUGACUGUUGUAUGACCAAAGCAUGCUGCCCAUAUGUUUGAUAAAAUGGCUAUGUGAAUGAAAAGAGUCAUUAUAGCAUGUUGACAAGAAACCCUUAUUUAUGUAUAAGUUAAUGCAUGCCAAGUGUUUGAUGAAAGACCUUAUUGAAUGAAAUAUGAAACAUUAGUAUGCAUCCCUAUACAUUUACAAGUUUAUGAAUUUCAAGUGCUUAAUGAAAUGCCUCAUUGAUUAUAUUGUGAGUGAUUGACUAUUGUCAUGUUAUUUAAGAAUUUGCCAUGUCUUACUAAUUUUUCUAUCGAGUCCUAGGGGUAUUCAAUACCCAACAAUUUAGCUGAUUACCUAGAGCUAGUGUCAGUUUCAAGAUAAUCUCAGUCAUGCCAUGAACUCAGUAGAACUCAGUCAGUUAUAGAACUUAGGAAAACUCAGUAAUUUUAGUAUCUGUCCAAUCCAGUUUCAGUAAUUAGUUCAGAAACUCAGUAGUAUUUAGUCAGAUAAUAAAAUUCAGUAGUAUUCCAUCAGUCAAUGGAACCCAGUGAACUUAGUUAGAUCAGUUAGGUAACAUGAUCAGUAAUAGAUUCAGCCUAAUCUAGUACAAUCGAAGAAUCAGUUCAAUGUCUAUUCAGUUGGGAGUAGGAUUCAGCAUCGAGCGAGAGUAGGGAUGAUGACUUCCCCGUCAGGUAGGUUAAGUCGUUAGUAGCAGUCCCUAUACUCCAGAACUGUGUAGCCAGUGCAGGAUGAGGAGUCACCCAUCAGAUUAAGGCUUGGCUACCUCCCAGGGGUCAUCUAUCAGAUUAUGCUUGACUUCUUAUUCAGGGUCACCCGUCAGCUAGGCUUGACCGCAGUAGUGUCUUUACCCGUGGCAUAGUACUGACACCCUUCCAACUAGGGUUAUAGGUUGGAUCCCAAAUUAGCUAGAGAGGCAUGUUGGUUAGAAGAUUACUUCCCACAUUCUCUGUUUCAGUCUCAGACUUCAGAAUAUAAUUCAGUUUAGAAUUUAAGAAAUCAGGACUGUCAGAUACAAUCACUCAGCUUAGUAAAGAACUUAGAUAGUUCUACAGAUUCAAGACUGUUAGAUACAGUUAAUUAGUAUCAGUAUCAACAGUUUAGGGAUCAUCCGCUAGAUAGGCCUGAUCUCAGGGGUUACCCAUUAGAUAGGAUCGACCCCACAACAAUCAUCAGUAAUUCAGAACUAGUAGAUUCAGUUAUCAGUAUUACAGUACUAGUAAACUCAGAUAACAUUUAAAUAGCAUUUAAAACUCAGUAUCCAUUGUUAGUAUGACCCUAAUUAUAGUUUACAUUUUCAUGCAUGCAUCCUCAUUAAGUAGUCUCAUGUUAUUCAGUCAGUUUUAUGUUCAUGCAUAUGAACCCUUGCAUUCAACUUUACCUGAUAUAGCAUACCAGUAUAUUCCUUCAUACUGACACAUACUUUUUUGCGCUAUGGUGUCUUAUACUAUAGGUUCAGACUACUAGCUCCUGAGCACCCUUAGCAGUUCAGAUUCAGCCAGCAGCAGUAGACUUAGCAGUGAGUCUUUAUCAUUCGAGGAUGUUCCUUAUUUUAUUAUUGCAUUCAAUUUUGUAUUCUAGUAGAUGGAGUUAGUUGGAGGAUUGUCCUAUCAACUCUACAGUUCAGACAGAUUAGAGGCUUUUCAUACUAGAGUAUUUUCAGAUAGUUGUUUUAAUUUUGGUAUUAUUAUACCUUAUAUAGUCGUAUUUCAGUUUGAACCUUAUGGCAAGUUUUCUGCCAGAUUUCUGCAUUUUCCAGUAUGUUAUUCAGUGCUCAGUUACAGAUAUUAGUAAUGGGCUAGCUUGUGGUCCUUCAGGAUUAGUAGCACCGUGUAGCGUCUGGGGUUUAAAAUCCGAGGCAUUACAUGACAGUAGUCAAUGUACAUUCUUAAUUGGUAUCGAGUGUAUCUAUAGUCAACUUCAAAUGAAAUAAUUCUUGGAUUAUGAAAACUUUUGGAGAUCAUGACUUGCCAAAUGAAAGGUCUUUGAGUCUUUUUUCCAACGCAUCUGAUUUUGUCUUAAUCUAUUAUCAGAAUAAAAUGUUAUGACCAUUUUACUAAAACACUGUCAAACUUUCAAAUUUGAUAACCAUACCACGACUGAAACCCCUGAUCUUGGGAUGUGCUCUUCUCAUGUAGUACAAAAUCCUUAAAGCCCCCCUAAAACCCACGAUUAAUACCACAAUUAUGGUGAGAUCAUAGGAGGGUCCAUCCACGGUCGAAAAUUAGAUUUUCAGUAGUAUUUUUAGAGGGGUAUUCAAGUAUUUUUCCAUAAUUUAACCUCCUAAACUACAUCAUUUAAGCUACCCUAUGGCUAAAUAUAAAGCCUAAACAACUCCUAAUGCCUCAUUCUAUUCAUAUCAUAAGAAAAUACUUGGAGAAACAUGAGAAACAAGAGACCUCUCUUCUCCCAAAGUAAGAAAGUAAGGCUCUUCAUCUUCAAUCUCAAAUCCUUUUAACUUUAGUUAAGGAAUCAAAAGUAAUCAAGUAUGUGUGUAUUCAAUAAGUGGUUCCUUUCACCCUUAUGCCUUAAACCUAGUUUCAAAAUAUGAAUUUGAGUUAUGAUUUUUAUGAACUCAUGAUCUAGGGUUCACACCUAAUUAUACCAAAUUCUUGAAAUUAAAUUUCCUCAUGUUAUUUUUUUUUAUUAUGGUUUCCAUUCAAAGUUAUUAUGCAUGAUGUUUGUGGAUUUAACUCAAUUAUUUUAAUACGUGAAUAAUUAUGCAUUUUUUUUAUAGAUUUCAACCUCUUUUAGAAUGAAUUAUGCAUGAUUUGGUGGAUUUCAGUUUAUAUUAGUUUAAUAUGCUAUGUCUUUCCAUGAAAUUUAGUAUCCAUGCAUACUUGUGAUUCAUGACCCCUCAAUACAUUGAGUAAUUCAUGAUUUUGGACUUAUGUUACCUAAUUUCUCAUUAUACUCUAAUUAUAGGAUUUUCGUGAUCAAUAGUAGCAUUCUUCAGAGAUGGUGGGUUAUAAACACUCGAUGACUUAGGAUUUCAUGCAUUGUUUGUUAAAUGCGCAUUCUUUCAAGGUUACAUGAUUUAGAAUGCUUUUGGAUAAAACACAUAUAUAUAGUCUUAGAACUUUAGUGUUAUUGAGCUAUUUAGUAUAUCAACUUAUAUUUAGCUGGGAGUAGUACUUAGCACCAAUAAAACCUAGGGAUGAAGGCUCACUCUCCAGUUAGUCUGAGACCUUUCAUAGAAGUCUCUAAUUCCCAGAACUAUGCGCCACCAUAGGUUCUAAAGGAUUACACUUUAGAUCAGGCUUGAAACCUUAUUCCUUUUUGGACAUUAGUUUAGUGGUACCAUAUUAGAUCAACCAUUAUAUCCUGGCAUGGUAUAUUGGCCCCUUUUCAAUGUGGAUUAUAUAUCGAACUCCUUGUUUAGCUCAUAUGGUUAUAUGUAUGUUAAUAGUAACUCCUAUGGUUCAAACUCAUUUAUAACAUGACUUUGUAUUUAGUUUAUUCAGUAUACUAAUUAGUCACAUAUUUAUUUACUUCGUAAUUGCAUCAGUUUAUAUCUCAUAAUUUUAGAUUUAGUAUUUGUACAUGACCCUCCAUUUAGUUUUACUUGCUUUUAUUCUAUGACUUUUAGAUUAUCACUGCAUAUCAAUAUAUAUAUGCAUGUUAAAUAGGGUACUUAUAUGUCACGCCUAAAAACUUAUGUCAUGAUGACACUUAUCAUGGAUAAUCCUUGAUAAGUAAGUGAAUCACCUGAACUGAUAAGUAAGAACAAAAUAAUACAACAGUUCCCAAGGCGAGACUUCUAUAGCAAAGUCAGGCCCAUACAAGUACAACAAUAGUAGAUGUCUAAAAAUAAAUAUACCAUAAAUAAUCCUAAAACAUGGUGUCACAUUGUAAGAACAAUCUAAAUACAACUCAGAACUAGAGAUACAACUGAAUCAGAAAACUACAAGUCUGUCUCUGAAUACUAAAUAAAGACAUCAAUUAUAUAGGAGGAGGUAUGAUGUCAACUCUAAAGGCAUAUAGCGGCUAAUACUUCAAAAAGGACACUGAUCAACUGCACGAUCUCAGUUGUCGCAUUAUGCACUCGAACCUAGAUCGGGACCAAAAGGACAAGUAGGGAUGAGUACAAUCCACUUGUACUCAGUUGGUAUCAUAGAUUGAUUGAGCAAAGUAGAAAAUACGAUACAUAAAUAAAUAUUAUGAGCACAUCACCUAUAAUUAGAAUAUGUCCCAAAGGUAGCUUAUAAUGUCUCUACUAACAAUUCUAAAUAUAGAAUGUAAACAAAAAAAUAGGUAUGAAAAAGAAACGGAACUGAUAUGCAUAGAAUAAAACAAAAGCACAACACUAAAAAUGUAAACUGCAUGAAAUGUGAUGAUGAUGAUGAUGUGAUAUGAUUGAAGUUAUCACAUAACAUUCGUAUACACAUACCGAGCCUCCACACUUUUAGGUAGAACCUAUGUGGGGUUAUCAACUCAUAUACUUUCUCAGUACUUAACCCUAAUCUCAAUAUCAAUAUCUCCUCUCCAGGUCGUGGACUGUAGUAGAGGGUUUUGAAAAUGUGUCUUAUUUUUGUCAAAAUCGAUGUUUCCUCUAUGGUACCAAUGUCUCAUGAAUCUAUGUAUGAUAUGAAGAUAUAAUUAUCAUAACUAAACCAGUAGAAAGAUGUCAAAUCCAUUCAAUACAUGUACACGUGAGCUCAGAGUCCACUCAAUAUGUCAACCAUUCACGAUUUCGUAUAAGCAAUGUACCAUUAGAAUAAAUAUGCUUGUAAGGCAUCACUAAUAUCAUAUCAACCCUGACUUAGGUGUUUUUAUCAUGAAGAAAGCAACCAAUGAUAGAUAAGGCCUAUAAUUUAAGCUCCACACAGGCAUUAUGUCAACUACAAAGGCAUAAAAUGCAUAAACAAGGCCAAUGAUGUCAGAUAAAGCCCCCACAUGAGCAACACGCAUUAAAUAUCAUCUCAAGUCACCACCACCAACAAUAUAGGCCCCACAUGUGCAUACAAUAGUAAUAAUAGUAUUGAAAUACAGUUACCAUGAUUAUUAACCAUACCCAUGGCAUGAUUUUAUCUACAUCUUAACUAUCCAAUCCACUCUAAAAAAAAUUGAGCCAUAACCUACCUCAUGACGUAAAAAUCCAAGCCUAGCCCUUCAACGUGGAGUUUUCCCCUUUCGAACAGCCUCAGAAUCAACAAAAAUCUACAAAUAUAGAAUCAACGCUUUAAAAGAAGCCAACGAUAUCCAUAUUGCCCACUUUUAAGUCUGGGUCAAAAUGAAUCCCAAAAUGGGUUUUCAAAAUGAAAGGAUAGAAUCAAUAUUUUUGUUUAGAAAAACCUUAUCCCUGAUUAACGAAAGCCAUAGGAGAAAAAGCAAGUAAAAAUGGUUUAUAAAUGAGGUUUAAUCAAAGAAAUCUCUUUUUAAGCCUUUUAGGCCCAAAAAUCCCCAAUUCCCAAUUUGAAAUCAAGAUUUAAAAGAGUUUUAAAUGAUAGAAUCGAAGUAAAAAAAUUGAAAUAGUGAUUUAGAGCUUACCCAACCUCAAAAAUGGAAUAAAUCUCCCAAAACUCAUUCAACCUGAAGCUCAAAGUCUCAAAAAUGGAGAAAAAUUAUGAAAAAUGGUUUUUAUAUCAACACACCUAUGACCGCUUAAGCGGUCAUCGCUUUAGUGAUGGGUCGACUGCUUAAGUGGUCCAGUCUAGAAAUAUAAGGCCGCUAAAGUAGUCCACCACCGCUAAAGUGGUGAUUGCUAAAGUGGUCAAGUGUUUGCUUUAGCUGUGAUUCACGAUCAAUAGGGUCCACUAAAGCGGUGUAUGGGCUGCUAAAAUGGCUACCAUUUAAGCGGAUGCAGCAAAAUUCAGUUGCAUUAGCAACUUUGCUAAGUUGCAAAGUUGUUGAUCAAACCCUCGGGAUUCGUUUGGAAUCCUAUGAAGGCAAACAAAAUAUGCUACUAGACUAAAUUUGAUGUUCUAAACUCAAUGGUGACAUUAGAUUUUCGAAAAGAUAUUAUUUUCACAAAAUUAGCCCACGAGACCUAAUUUCACUAAUUUUCAAAACAAUAGUCAAAUUGAAAUCCAAAAGUCACAAAAUUGAACUACUCAUGCUACCAACCCAAAAUUGAUAUUUUAGAUCUACUAGUGCAGUCUGUUUUGCCAUCCAACACAAAGUACAACAAGUGUUGGCUGAGGUCAACUAUGAGGCCUUUCAAACCUAUAAAAACCACAAACUUGCACAAAUCAUUUUGGAUCAUAUCGAGAAUCUGCCAACUAUCCCCACACCUUAAAAAAAUACAUAGCAACCACAGAGAGGGGUAAAAUGGUGAAAACACAUAAAUGGGGAAGGUUCACAGAAUCGAGUCAUUACAAUAUCCACCACUAAUAAUCUAAUUUGUCCUCAAACUAAAGGUAAGAUAAAUACCUGAAUUGGCAAAAAGCUAGGGAUAACUGCUACGUAUGUCAGACUCGACCUCCUAAGUAGCCUCAUUUAUAGAAUAGUAUCUAUAUUAAAACUUAUCCACUUGAAUAUCUCUAGAAUGAAAUCAUCUAACAUCCCAGGAUAAAAUAUAGACUAGCUCCCUAACAAAGGACAAUCUCUUAUCUAACUACGCCGUGUCGCAACGAAUGACAUAAGACUCAUCUGGGAUAUAAUUUCAUAGCAUGGAUAUUUGAAUAACUAGAUAAACGAAUUAAAGAUCUGGGGGAAAAGCUACCUCAUAAGCUACAUCUCCAGUAGUCUAAAGAAUCUCAAAUGACCCAAUUUACCUAGGUCUAAGCUUGACCUUCUUCCCAAAUCUCAUCGUACCCUUAAUGGGUGACACUUGAAAGAAGACUCGAUCACCAACAUUAAACUUUAGGGCAUGAAGUCUACGAUCUGCAUAACACUUUUUCCUACUCUUAGCCGCUCGAAGUCUAUCCUGAAUAGACCAAACUUUAUCCAAAGACUCAUAAAACAAGUUAGUAUCUCGAGGUCUAAUCUCAAAAGUCUCAAACCAACCAAUUGUAGAGAGGUGAUGCUUACAAUAUAAUGGCUUAAAAUAUGCCAUGUCAUUACUCAGAUGGUAGCUAUUAUUAUACGCAAUCUUUGCCAAGGCUAAAGACAGCUCCCACUAACCUCCGAAGUCCAUAACAUAAGCAGUGAGAAUAUCCUCCAAAACUUGAAUAGUUCGCUUUGACUAUUCAUUAGUUUGGGGGUGAAAAGCUAUCCUAAGAUCAAACUGAGUACACAACUACUCCUAAAAGGUCCUCCAAAAGUUAAAAGUAAAAAGUGAACGUCUAUUUGAAAUAAUAGACACUGGUACAUCGUAUAGAUGGAAUAUCUCACAAACAUAGAUAUGGGCUAACCUCUCAGUACUAAAAAACACGAAUAGGGAUGAAAUAAACAUAUUUGUUCAAUCAAACCACAAUGACAUAGAUAAUAUCAGAACUACAAGAAGUAUGAGACAACCUAGUCACAAAGUCCACACAGAUCUAUUUUCACUUCCACUCGAGUAUGGGUAACCUCUGAAGCAAACCUCCAGGCCUCAAAUGCUCGACCUUCACCUAUUGACAACAUAGGCAAUGAGCUACAAAGUAUGCUACAUCCUUUCUUAUACCACUUCUCCAGUAGUGUUAUAUAAAAUCAUGAUAUAUCUAGGUCUCUUUCAAAUUAAUGGAGUUCUUAGAAAAUGGGCCUCCUCUAAGAUUAGUCUUACCGAGUCACCCACUCCUAGUGCACAAACUUAACCUCCAAUUCUAAAAACACCAUCAAAAUCAAGUGAGGCUUCCUUAAUAUUGCCAUUUAACACUAUAUAUUGAAUCACUCUCAAGCCAUCAUCAUCAAACUGAUGAGCCCAAUCUUCUCAAUCAAGGAAGAUCAAGCCUCCACAAGUGCCAAAACACACCAAAGUGUUAAAAUAUUGAGCCAAGCUAUCCGGUUAGCAAAAGACUAAACCUUUAAGGAUAAAGGCCUCUCUUAGGUCAAAAGAUAAGAUAAGCAACCCAUACUAGUCAUUUUCUAGUUCAAGGCAUUCACAAUUAUAUUAGCCAUACACGGAUGGUAGAGGAUAGUGAGAUAAUAAUUCUUAAGAAUCUCAAGUCAAUGACACUGACUCAUAUUAAGAUCUUAUUAGGUGAAGAAGUACUGAAGACUAUGGUGAUCCGAGAAGAUCUCACAAUAGAAUCCAUAGAAAUAAUGUCUCCACAAACUCAAUACAAACACAAUUACGCAUAACACAAAAUUGUGGAUAGGGUAAUUAUUUUUAUAAGGCUUCAACUAACAAGAAGCAUACUCAAUUAUCUUACCCCCCACACCAACACGACACCUAACCCAAUGACAGAAGUAUUAUAAAAGAUGGUAAAGCUCAUGCUCUUUUUGGGAAAAGUCAUGAUAAAAGCCGAUGUCAAUAAAUCCUUAAGCUUUUAGAAGCUCACCUUAUAAGUAUUUGACCAAUGAAAGGAAAUCUUCUUCUGUGUCAACUUGGUCAAAUGCGCUACAAUAGAUAAAAAACCCUCAACAAAGCAUCGAUAGUAGCCUACUAAACCAACAAAACUCAACAUCUUAGUAGGAGAAGUUUGCCUAACCCAAUCAGGAAUUGCUGCAUUCUUGGCCAUAUCGACCAUAAUACCAUCCUUGGUCACAACAUGACCCAAGAAAGAUACAGACUCAAGCUAAAACUCUAUCUUGGAGAAUUUAUCUUACAACUUCUCAUUUUUUAACCUCUGAAGUACAAUCCAUAAAUGCUCCUCAUGAUCAACCUCACUUUUGGAGUAAACCAAGAUAUCAUCUAUAAAUACAAUGACAAAAGAGUCGAGAUACAAUCAAAACACCAGGUUCAUCAAAUUAAUAAAUGCGGCUGGAGCAUUUGUUAAACCAAAGGACAUGACCAAGAACUCAUAAUGACCUUAUUGAGUCUAAAAAGCUAUCUUCAGAUAAUUCAAAGCUCUUAUCCUCAAAUGGUGAUACCGGAACCUCAAAUCAAUCUUUAAAAAAAUGCUAAAGCACCCUAAAUAUGAUUAAAAAAUCAUUAAUAAGAGAAAGAGGAUACAUAUUCUUAACCAUCACCUUGUUUUACUACCGAUAAUCAAUACACAUGUGCAUAAACCUAUCCUUUUUCUUCAUAAACAAGACAAGCGCACCCCAAGGUGAUACACAAGGUUGGAUAAAUACCUUAUCUACUACCUUUAACUGGUCCUUUAAUUCUUUCAACUCAGUUGGGGCCAUCCUAUAAGGAGGAAUAAAAAUGAUCUUGGUUCCUGGAUCAAUAUUAAUAGCAAAGUCAAUAUCACGAUCGAAGGCAUACUAGGAAAAUCCAUAGGAAAAAUAUCUAUAAAUUCACAGACAAUAUAGACAGAAUCUAAAGAAUGCGGUGAAGCAUCACUAGUAUCAUGAAUAUGUACCAAGUAAGACAAACAUCCCUCCUCUACCAUAAGACAAGCACAUAAAAAAGGAUAUCUCGCUUUGGACCUGAAUAAAGCAUACCCUUCCAAGCCAUCCUUCGCACAUAUAGUGAAGCUAUAGUCAUAGUUUUAAAAUAUCAUUUCAGAAUAGAAUUUUAGGGAGCUAACCAAUCAAUGCCCAAGAUGAUAUCAAAAUCUACCACAUAUAGGAUAAUUAGAUCUACCCAAGCCUCGUGCCUUGCAAAAUUCAAAACACAUGAUUGAUGCACCCGAUCCACCAUUAGAAAGUCUUUGUUGGGGGGUAGAUACAUGAAUAGGCAUAACAAGAGGCUCACAAAUAGAAUCAAAACCAAAAGAAAAAUAUGCAGAUACAUAGGAGAAAGUCAUCCCAAAAACAAAUAACAUAGAUGCAGAUCUGAAGUAAACUAAGACGAUACUUGCGAUAAAAAUAUUACAAGUCUUUGUCUCAGGACUGGGGUGUAUAGAAUAACACUGACAUAUCUUUUAUUAAAAUGAACAACCCCGCGACCAACACCACAGGUACUACUACCUCUUCCUCGCACACCUUUAGUAGUACCUUUACCACUCUAAGAGUCACAUCUUAUUGUUGAUAUAGGAGUAGGCCUGAAAACACAGCGAGGGAAAAUAUUAGCCACAUGUCAAAAAUCAUCACACAUAAGAAAACCUUUACGACCCUACAAAAUUUGAUGAGGUGCAGCUGAGUUAGAACAACCACCCUGGGAUAACACUCGACUUACCGUAGUUGCUGAAUCUUACCACUCGAGCCCUGCAAAGUACCUACACUGGUCUGCCAUGGUAACCAUAGGAUCCCAAAAAUCUCUACCUUAGGGGGCGUUCCCUCUAAACUUGUCUUGAUGAUACACCAUCUUGGCACCUCCCUGAGUAGUUUAAAAAAUCAACUCGCAUGAUCCACCAUAUUUUAAAAUAACACUACCAUCUAGGCUGCAGCUAAAUGAGAUAAAGAAUUCAAUACAUUCACAAACUUUUAAAUCUUCUUAGACUCGGUGGCAAUAAUAAAAGUAGAAUAUCUAGAAAAUGCAUAGAAAUAUUCCUCAUACUCGACAAUAGUCAUGGACCCUUGCUUCAAGUGAUCAAAAUCAUCUCUUAUCAAAUCGCUUAAACUGAAGGGCACAAACCUAUCCAAAAUAGCCUCAGCAAACUGAUCCCAAGUCAUCGCUGGUGAACCAAAGGGUGCUGCAACUAACAAGUGACCUCCACCAAUCCCUGUUCGUAUCUCUUAACAAAUAGGUAGUAUAAGCAAAUCUACGUGACUCGAGUGAUCUAAGGUUAUACAACUUCUCCUAGUAGUCAAUCAAAAACUCAUAUUCAUUCUUGCCCACUUCACCACUGAACUUGGUUGGACCCAAGAGAAUAAAUCUCUCAAACCUCUUCUGAUCCUCAAAAGACAAAAUGACACUUUAAGUAAUAGAAGGAAUAAUAAAUCUAAAAGGUUGUGAUCUUACCUAAGGGGUAACAUAGAGGAAGAUCAAAAUCCUAAAGUUAGAAUACCAUACUUGAAUACCGAUAUAGAAGGAGAAACAACACUUGGAGUUUGCAGAAUACCAUAAAUAGAUAUUGCUACCAAUGAAGGAAUCACACUUGGAACUAGAGGAACACUAUAAGUGAACUCUAGCAAAGAUGGAGGUACAACACUCAGAGCUGGAGGAAUACCAGGUGCACUUAAAAGGAACACUUUCCAAAUAAGUUAGUAAACAAACCAAUAAGCUCUUCAAGAUUGAGGUAGUAGUACUCUGUGGAACCUAAGUAGGUCCUAUAUCCCUAGCAUGCUCAACCUCGGGAUCAGGAGAGAUUCCCCUAGUACUACCUCUAGAAAGGGUAGAUCUUUAUACCCAUACUCUACCUUAAGCCUUUCAAUGACUCAAAACUCGUCCACUAGGUUGGGCUCUCUCAGCAGAUACUAGCUCAACAUGACUAGGCUCAUAGGAUAUAGUCCUCACUAUCAAUGCAAAAAUGAGUGAAUUACAAUUUAGAAUAUAGGGUAUGUAAGACUCGCAUGAAAAAAAUAAAAUAAGGAUGAUUCCUAAAGAUAUCUUAUACCUUUUUGAAGAUAGAUACAAAUAUCUACUUAUAAAUUUGUGAGACUCUACUAGACACCCUAUUCUUACACUUAGAAGAUCGAUAAAGCUAGCUGCUCUAAUACCAAAUGUCACGAACCAAACACAAAGGUCAUGAUGAUACCUAUCGCAACUAAGCCUUGAUAAGUAACCCAAUCACCCAAACUGAUAAGUAAGAAGAAACAAUGCAAUAAUUCCCAAGGAAAGACUUUUAAAGAAAAUGCAAGCCCAUACAAGUACAAUAAUAGAAAAAUCUGAAAAUAAAGAUGCCAUAAAUCAUUCCAAAACCUGGUGUCAUAAUGUAAGAACAAUCUAAAUAAAACUCAGAACUGGAAAUACAACCUAAUUCAAGAAACUAUAAGUUUGUGUCUGAAUAAUAAAUAAGGACAUCAACUAGAUAUGAAGAGAUUUGAGGUUGCCUCUAAAGGCAUAGAGCGACCAAUACCUCAAAAAUGCCACUGCUCAAUCGCAUAAUCUUAGUUGUCGCUCGAUGCACUCAAAUAUGGAUCUACACUAAAAGGGUACAGUAGGGAUGAGUACGGUGCACUUACUCAGUACGUAUUGAUGUAGCCCAAAUUACACCUCCUAGAAAGUAUAAAGUAAUUGCUGGUCAAAUAUAGAACCCAACAAGGUUGGGUCGAUCCUACGAGGAAUAGGUCAAAAAGUUAUCAUAAGCUUGUUAAAAAAUUAUAGAAAGUAAAUGGGGGGGGGGGGUUUGUAAUAGUAAGAGUAAAGUAACAAUGCUGGGUAAUUAUACUUAUUAUCAAUAUGAGACAAUUACUAGGAUUUUCUUCCCCUAAUUUUACCACUACUCUGACUUAUCAUUCUCGUCAGACUAUAUCGACGCCUUGCAUACAAAAUUUAAUAAGGUAUGUAUCAUCUAACCAUCUCUCAACCUUGGUUUAGGUGAAUUUCACUCAUAUUCUCUCUGUCUGAGCGUGUCGCAUUACUAACCCUUGUCUUAGAUAUCAUUUUAACUAUCUUGUCUCAGCCUCAAGUUAAUUAGAUAAAUAUUGAUAGCUUCAAAUUAAUAUUGCAGUUUCUUUUUCCUAAUAUCUACCUCUUACUCGAGCAAGUUUCGAAUAUAGGUGAGUUUCUAACAUUUGCAAUCAUCAUGAAAGUAAUCAAAAUAAAAGAAAUCCUAAUACAUACAAGAACACCAAUUAAGAAUGACUUUGCACUUUCUCUUUAUUGUUAAUCCAUUAGAGUUCCCACAACCCUAGUUAUGGGGUUUAACUGCUCUGAUUGUAAGAACAAACUUAGAAUUCAUGGAUGAAAGCAUGAACUUAUGAAGAAUAAUAAUGAAACCUAAAAUCUCAUAUUAAUGUCAAACCUUAAAAACUAAGGGUGUGCAUCGGUCAGUUCAGUUCUAUUUUAUGUGUUAUUAGUUUGUUUUAUCGGUUUUUUAUUUUUAAAUAUGUAAAACCAAUAACCAACCUAUAAGAUAUUUUCUUAUCGGUUCUGGUUUAUCAGUUUUUGGUCCUUAAUGGUUUGGUUUUCAGUUUAACCAAUAAGAAAAUACUUAUAAAAUAGAAAUAGUAACAACUAACAUAAAAAAUAAAAUCUUAAUUAUCGCCAAAAUCCUACGCAAUGCAUUUUUGUCUACAAGAAUCUUCAAACUUGAAUUGAAUGUUAGUUAGAAAAAAAAUUAAAUCCUAAUUGUUGGAAGCUAUAAAUGCUUCAAGGUUGUCAAUAUGAUAAUAGCCGAGCUUUAUAUUGUACCUUUGUGGCCCUGAAUAGGUUAAUACUUUGUGAAUCACCGAAUUGUGAAUAAGUAGUGCAUAUAAUAUAUAUACAUACACAUAUCUAUAUAUCUAUAUAUAGAUAGAAAGAGAGAGAUUUAUAUAUAUAACAUAAAUAGGGAUAAAACAAUAAUUUACUAUAUCCUUAUUGGGUUAUCGGUUUAACCGAUAACCUAAUAAGCUAAAACUGAAACCAACCGUUUACCCAAUAAAUUUUUUUAUAAAACUAAUAAAAAAUUGUUAACCCAAUAAUCCAAUACCAAUAACCCAAUAACAUUUUUAUCGGUUCGGUUUAUCGGUCGGUUCGAUUUUUGCACACCCCUACUAAAAACCAAGAAUAGUAAUUUCAAGAUCAAUAAUGUAUCUCAGAGUUUUUACAAUGUAAAAAGUGUAAAAAGUGCAUAAACUAAUAAUAAAACAUCAAAUAGGUAUUAUUGAUACAUCAAAAAACCUAUCCUAAACAGUGUAGGAAACUUGAGUCGACACUAACCCAAGAGGCUACCUACGAGUCUUAUGUAAUACCUACGGGGCAUAAGUAGGAUUUAUAAAAGUUAGAGGAAUCUUCAAAAUGCAGAUCACCUACCUACAAAGGCAACUUACAGUCUGUAAGUAGUACCUGCACCUUGUAAGUAAGGGGCCUAGUAAUCAAAUUUCAGCAACAACUCUCAGAACUUUGGCUAAUCCACCUACGUGGCCAACCUAAGAGCCUGUAGGUACUUUCUACAACCCGUAGGUAUGGCUCAUAGCUAACCUUCUUAGCUUUUUUUCAUCCCCUUUUCUAAUUCUUAUCCUCGAACUCUAUUUUCCUGCAAAAUAAACACAAAAGUACAUCACAUCUAUCAUGAAUCCCUAAGUACUUGCAUAAUUUUCUUUUUUUAAGAAUCGAAAGUGCCAUAAAAGCAUGGAACAUCAACACCCUCAUCUUAGAAUAUUUGCAUGUCCUCAGGAAACUAGCAUAUAAUAGAAAAAUACUAUGCUUAACCAAAAGAAACCUAAGGCACCUAAGAUAGUAAACUCAUUUUAGCUCCUCGCCUCUACUCUUGUCUCAGAUACCUCUAGUAUGGUCCACACCCAUAGCCAUAUCUGAGCAACUAAUAUGAAAAAUUAAGUGUCAGUAUAUGUUAGCCGAUCACUCAACUCCUAGUAUCGAUCCACAAACUACUAUAAAAAAUCUCAAGACACAAUAACCAUGCCUGAAAUUGGUGGGUGAGGGUGCAAAGUAGAAGAUAAAGCUAGAGUUGAAGUGACCGUAUCCCCCUUACUGCCCGUCGUAUAUAAAUUAUCUAUCCUCUGGAUACUAAUAUCAACCUCGCCAUCCAAUAUUGGCCUCUCAACAUGCUCAUCUUAAAUAGAAGGCCCCUCAAAGUGGGUCGCACCGAAAGAUGUUGAAGGUGGUGCUCUAUGUAGUACAAUAGGGUUGGCAUCAACCUUAAUCAAACCAAAAUCAUCCAUGUAGGUAGACUCAAUCCUAUGAUCAAUCUCUAGAAUAGUCAACACUCUUGCCAUAUUACACAACUUCUAUAGCAAGCAAGAAAAGAGAAGGGUGGUGAACUCGAGAAAUGCUCUCUCGUGAAUCUCAUCUUGGAUCCACCUAGCAAAAUUAAUAUAAUAGCUAGCUUUAAGAUUGACAAUCAGUACAACUCAAUCGCAUGUGAGCAUAUUGUUUGCAGAUGUAAGACUCAAUCGAUGAGUCAUAAUAGUCCACUAAAAUUGUACUGCAAAAUAUGGUGACACCAUCUUUAUCUCUCUUCCCCUUAACCCAAAGGGCAUCAGUACUAAGCUCAGAUAUCUACCGAGCUAACCAUCUAGCUAAGUUUAUCCUCUAUGAUUUAUGAUUAGAAUCUCUCAUAGUAUGCCUACUCUGCAUAAUCCUCAAUCUAUAAUCAAACUUUGUUAUGGUGGAUGGCCCAAAUAAGAAUCAACAAAUGGUUUCCAUAGAUAAAUCAACCCAAACCCCACUGACAAAUAUACGAGUCAGUGAGGGAUAGUCCAAUGCUCUUUCCUUAGAUGGGGUAAUCAAAUAUAUAAACACCAUUAAGAAGCACAAAACUCUUGAACAAUGUUAGGGCAGAAGCUCCUGAAGGUUGGUCCAUCCAACUAAGUUUAUUAUGAUCAAAAGCAGCCUACAAGCCUAGAGCACUGGCCAAAAUGACAAGCUCAUCUCUCAAUCUAGACUGCACACCCUUCUUUGGUGUAGCUUUUGGUGCCAUAGUACCUGUAAAGAGAGUUCCAAUGAUGGAAACACAACAAUAGUGCAAUAUGAGAAGAAAAUAAAGAUUCUAACUCAGAGGCUACCUACGAACCCUACCUAUGGGUUGUAGGUAGUAUUUUUGAGCUGUAGGUAGUACCUAAGAGGUCGUAGGUAGUCUCGUAGGUAGCAGACAUAGCCUCUAAACUUUCAGGGAUUUAAGUCUAAUACUUAUGCGGUAACUUACGAUCUUGUAGGUUUAACUUACGUAUUCGUAGGUAGGUUUUGUGGGUUCAAUCAAAGGGUAUUUGAAUUUCUUCCCCAAAUUCCUACCCAACAUAGAUAAUAUUUCAAUUUCUCAAACCAAUUUUGAUUACUAAAACAUGCAUCAAUUAAAUUUCCAUAGGUAUUUCAAACAUUAUUUGAGUUAAUCAACUUCUACUCCACUUUUAAAUACGUGCAUAGGUUAUUUCAAUCAAAAUAAAGUUAUUAAUCAAGUUUGGAUCAUGAAAAACCUUACCUGAAGUGAAGGUUGUAGUAGAAGAAGAAAACACUAUGAUUUUGCACCAAACUUAAGUGUAAUACACAUAGGAAUGUGGAAUGUGGGGUAGAGUUUGCCUUUUUAACUUUUAAAAGGGAGAAAGAGAGUUUAAAUUAAAGAGGGAGUUUGUAACUAAUAAGUUUGAGGCUAAAUGGACCAAGUUAGGGCUUAUUUUUAAUGGAUUGGCCGGUUUAGGUAGGUCUCAUGGGCCCACCCUAUUUUUAAAAUUUUUUUCCCACUAUUCAGAGCCUACCUACGCCCUUAUUUACAGGCAGUAACCUAUGAGCUCAUAGGUAGGGGUCAUAGGUGGAUCCUACGACUUUGUUUUUGUUCUGAUUCCUAUGACCUAACCUAUAAGGUCAUAGGUUGUACCUACAGGUCCGUAGGUAGUGGUUGUUGG
rnacentral:lncRNA from 1 species